rnacentral:lncRNA from 1 species
UGAGAGAGGAGAUCCGGAUGAGAGAUGAGAGAGGAGCUGCGAGACUCUAUGGCUAGAAGAAGGCGGUCAGCGAUGGAAAGAACGCCGGAGAGAAUGACGGAGAGCGCAGGAGAGCGAUAAAAGCCCUACGAGAAAUAAGAGACAUGGUUUUGGCUGUUUCUUUCUCUAGUCUUUUAUUCGAUUUGAUAAUUUUUUUUUGAGAAAAUGACUAUUUUUGUCACAAAUAUAGCCUAUAAGAAUAAAAAUGAUCAAAAUAGUACUUAAUAUUUUAUCAAAAGAGAUAAAUAUAUAUUUAUACCCCAAUGGUAAAUUAAUUUAGACAUUAGGGUUUAGAGUUAAGGGGUGAGGUUUAGGAUUUAGGGUUUAGGGUUCAGGGUUUAGAGUUUAGGGUUUAGAGUUUAGAGUUUAGGAGUGGGGUUUAGGGUUUAGAGUUUAGAGUUAAGGGGUGGGUUUAGGAUUAAGGGUUUAGAAUAUAGGGUUUAGGGUUUAGAGUUUAGGGGUGGGGUUUAGGGUUUAGGAUUUAGGGUUUAGGGUUUAGAGUUUAGGGUUUAGGAUUUAGAGUUUAGGUUUUAGGGUUUAGAGUUGGGGAGUGGGGUUUUGGGAUAAGAUUUCAAAUUUUAAAAAAUAAAAAAAAAUUAAAUUUUUCGAAAGAUAAAAUGCUAUUUUGGUCAUUUUAGUUUUUGAUUGCUAUUUUUGUAACAUAAAUUUAGAAUUGUGCUAUUUUUGAAAUUUGCCCAUUUUUUUUUAUUAGAUAAAAUACACAAACCAAACAAAUUCAUUAGGGAAAAUAUGUUGGUAUUUUUAGUUAAAUGUAUUUUUGAAAACUGAUAACCAAUGUUUUUAAAACUGGACCGACCCGAUGGUUGGACCGAGUUCGACCAUGAACCGGUUAUAUAGUCGGGUUGGUCUAGUAAUUGGUUCGACCAUGAACCGGUCACAUAGCCGGAUUAUAUUUCAAAGUUAUUAAACCAAUAAAAACCACUAAAACUAUCAAAAAUCUAUAAAUCAUUCAUAUAAACAAGAAACUAAUUUAUAUUUAUAAUAUUUUAUGUUCAAAAUUGAUUUAUAUUUUAACUAUUCACCAUGUUUACUAAUAUUAUUUUUAUAUUUACAUACUAAAAAAAUAUUAAACUAUAUUAUUGAACCAGGUUUCACCCAGUCGAAGCAUAUUGAACCGUGACCCAAAAUAUUUACGGUUCAGUUUCCGGUCCGGUUUUAAAAACACUACUGAUAACCAAUUUAUGGUAUUUAAACAAUUAUUCUUUAGUUAAUAACUUUAUAUGAAUUAUUUUAUUAUCUACGUUAAUCAGUCUAACGUAUAACAUCUACAGAAAAAUUGGCAGAAUAUAUCUUUUAUAAAACAAAUAAACAAAGAUGGAUAGAGUGAAUGAAUGGACGGAUAGACGGCUUUCAAAAGGAAGAAAUGAAGUUUUGAUUAAAUCUUUCUUGCUAGCUCUCCCGACAUAUGUUAUGUCUAGCUUCUUGCUCGCGCUGGAGAUAUGUGAGAAACUCGCGAGUGCCAUUGUACAAUUCUGGUGCAGUUCAAAUCCCCCAAAGAAAGGAAAUUAUUGAGCCAAAUGGGAAAAUAUCUCUUUACCAAGGGACAGUGUUGUGCCAAGGUUUUUGGAGGCCCAAGGCGAGUUAAAAAAAAAUAAUACAUGAUAUUGUUUUUUGAAAAUAGUUCUAUUUAAAGUCGAAUUAUAUAAAAUCUUUUUUUUUGAAAAAACAUAUAUAUAUAUAUAUAUAUAUAUAACACUAAAAAGUUUUGAUUUAUUACCUAAACUUUUUCUAAAUUUUCUGCACCAGACUUUUAUAAACUAAAAAAAAAUGAUCAAAAGUAAGAAUUCAUAAUAUAAAAAUAAAAUACAAAUUUUGGAUUGAAAUGUUAGUCGCUGUUAAAAAGAUAAAUCUUAGCGUUUAAAUUAAAUACAAUAAACUAUAUAUUCAAAAUAUUAUAAUUUUUAUUCAACUUCUAUAAAUAUAUAAAAUAAAUCUAACUCAUAACAUAUACAAAGAAGACAAAUGUGGAUCAAAUAUUUGCAUUCAAUUAGAAGUAGAAUCUUUAUAGUCUAUAUAUAUAAAGUAUUGUUUGACUCUCUCCUGUGAUGCCACGUCAUCAAUUCGUUGAACAUGAGCUCGCCACGUGUCCUACUUCACCAAUCCGCUGCGUUUCAUUAAGUCUUCUGUACAUGCUUUUCUUUUAUUAUGGGCUGCGUGUUAGAUUCAGUUUCGGUUGGGCUUUAUGUCAUAGGCCUUUAUCAAUUUAUGUGUUUUAAUUAGGGUAAACCCAGUGUCCUUCUUCUCCGCUUCCCAGAAUCCAUAAUCCAUGUCGUGGCAAACGAUUUUUCAUUCUUUUUUUUUUUUUAUCUUUCAUCUUCUUCAUCAGAUUUCAAAACGGUUCCAGUUAUAAUCGAUUCCAGUUACAGAAUGAUCAUCUUAGAACCCUCCAUUAAUCUCACAGGCACGAUCUAUAUUCAAUGCAAUUUUCAUUAUGUGAGGCUGUGGAGGUUCUCCUAUAAAAAGAUAUGAUUUUUUUCUACUUUGAGAAUCAUUCUUCAUUCUUUUAAGCUAACCAGUAAACUAAAUCCGUGAGAUAUGGCUAACGUUUCGGUCUUCCUCUCCGAUUUCCAGACGGGCCGCUCCUCCUCCUCUGUUGAAGUCCGGUUGCUCCGUUUCUGGGAGACCAGGAAUGUCCGCCAUGAUGGAGAGCUUAUGGGAGUGGAUAUGCUCUUACUGGAUUCUCGCAAGUAUCUUAUUAAACUCCACCUUUUGUUCAUAAGCAUAGUUUUUGACCGGUUUAGUUCUUUAGCCAUUUCCACCAUAUGAAUCUGUGAAAUAUCUUUUUGAAAAGUUUUGUUCAUAAACAGAGUUAUUUUUCCGGUGUAAUUCCGUCGUCCUGAAUCGAUAUUACCAAUUGUUUUUGAGAUUUUAAAGUUUUUGUUAAACCAUUUUUUACCGAGACAUUUUGCAAAUUUUAAUGAUUGCUGUUUCUCCUUCACGUACGUCCAGGCAGCAUCAGGCGACCAUGCUGCCGGUCACCGUGAAUGUACACCGGCUUGCGACCCACAUGCCUCAUCUGAAAGCGGGGUGGGUUAUUCCCUAACCGGGUUUGAUGUUACUCGAUGUAACCAAAAUUAUCGACUGUCGGACUCUUCCCUGCUAAUCCGUUUUAGCAACUCAACCUUAUAUCAACGGAUUCCACAAACUGUUACUGCCGUCAUUAUAUACAUAAAUUUUCUUCAAACUGUAUAUCUUCGCAUUCUCACCGUAGACAACGUAACAGUCGAUUUAAAUACAUUAUGAUAACCUUUUGCAUGGAACAAUAGAGUGUCUAAGCCAAUUCUGUCCUCCUGCUUUCCUUCAAUGUUCUCACAAAACCUUAAUCUUCAAAACAACUAAAACAGGGUCAAGUUUACCUUCAAAAAAACUAUGGUCAAGGACAAAAAACAGUCAUCUAACGCUCUCGGCGUUGCCAAUGUCCCAAUCACGGGUUUGUAUAUAUCCUCUAAAACUUAUAACAGUUACAGCUUUACCCUCUUGACACCAUGCAUCCUUUCACAUUUUGCAGAGGCCAGUAUCCACUGCGGCUAUACUAUUCGAUGACAAUCAAUAAAGUCAAGGACAAAGUUUCAAACAAGUUGAUUUAUAUCUCCCAAGAACGGUCUUCACUCACGACCAGUUGUACGUUGCGUUAUCUCGAGUUACUUCACCGGAUGGGCUUAAGAUAUUGGACGAUACCUCUGAUUCAGACAAUGCGGAUGGAGUAACUAACAUAGUCUACAAGGAGGUCUUCAAGGGCCUUCCACACACAAAGGUUAGCAUUGAACUGGUUUAGUUUGUACGCUAACUCUGAUCUGGUAUGUUCUCAAGUACUGACUUUAUCACUAUCAUCGCAGGAAGAGCAUCCGAUGUGUUCUUAAACAGUUAUAGGCUUCGAAGAAGGUAUCUUUCAUCAGUGUUUUAAGUAUAAUAUUUUGAAGGACUCGAUUCUCUCUUCUCUUAUCGUCUUACAUGUUCUACUUUGAUGAAAAUCUUCUUCUUAACGCUUAAGCAUUGUUUAAAUUUAAGGUUUCAUAUAAAGAGUUCGUGAUACUAUGUUUCAAAGGAUACCCUUAGAAUAUAUUAUAGAACUAUAUGCAUACUACAAAGACCCCAUAAAGAAAGAGCCAGCAUAAAUAAAGAAAUCCAUGUUUAAUUAAAUAAACUAUUUUGUCCAAUUGGAAUAUUCUUUCAUGAACAUUAUAGCAAGAAAAUUAGAAUGAGUAAUUUAAAUAUAACUAACAAAUCCUAAUAAGGAAAGUUAAACAUAUAUUUAUAUAUAUAUGCAAUGAUCAUAAAAAUUAUAAGUCCCCUUAUGAAAUAUAAACCAAAAGUAGGAAAAAUAUACAAAAAUAAUUAGUAAAUCUAUUAAGAUAAUAGUAAUAUUUUUUAAAAAAUAUAGUAAAUUAGUAAUCCAUAAUAUUAUGAAAUAAAUAAAUAUUAUAUCAGAUAUUUUUCGAUGUAAAGGUCAAAGUAUGUUUCGUUUACUUGCCUAAAUUUGGAUUUAAAGAAGACUGUAGGCAAAAGAAUUACCAAAUAUCAAUAAAAUUGUAUGUAUAUUUUUAAACCCUUUAAAUAUGCUGCUUUAUUAUAUAAAAUCAGCAUCUUCGGUUUGCUUGGUUCGUUCUUCAUUAUUAAUACACUUAUUAGUACGAUUAAUUUCAUAAUAUAUAAACAAAUAUAAUCAAAGAAAUAUCAUACCAAUACCAAAGAAACAAACAUAUGCCAAAAAAACAACCUCCAUUGUUAAUAAUAUCAGUUACUAACAUCCAAAAAAACAACUACAAUAACUUUGAUAAAAAAUUUCUCUAAAUAAAAACAUCGUUGUCCACUAUUUUAUAUACCCUCACAAAAUAAGGAUAGAAUGGUAUUCGAGAUACAGACCCCAUUCUCUUUUUGAUCAAAUCCGAUUGAGUUAUGUAUUUUAUAGUGUUAUAAAUCAGAAACACUAAAAAAACUUAUAAUUUAGGGUUAAAACAACAAAAUUAAUAACAAUGCAAUAAUUUUUAGUUAUAAAGUUAAAAUUUGUUGUAGAAAAUAUAAUAAUACUCACACCCAAUUUAAUAUAAAAGAAAUUUACAGAAAAUGACACUUUUUUUAUAAAAACCAAUCUAUCAAAUCCCGCCCGCAGGGCGGGCCUCCCCUAGUUUUAUAUAAAAUAUAGUAAAAUUGAUCAUAAAAUAGUUAUUUUAAACAUAAGUGGAAUUGAGAAUCAAAUAAUAAUAAAAAUCUAACUAAGAAAAUACAUUAACUACCAUGUAAUUUUUUUUUUUUUUUGUAAUUAGGGGCCCUAAAAAUCUUACAAAAUUUGGGGGCCCUAGGCAAAUGCCUUUUUUAAUAGCCUGUAAGCACGACUCUGCCAAGGGAGGAAGGCGGGAUUGGUUUUCGUAUGAUCCAUGAGUUCAACCUGGCUUUACUAACAAAACAACUAUGGAGGCUAAUUCAAUACCCUGAUUCGUUAGUGGCUCGUAUUUUGAGGGGAAGAUACUACAGAAUGAGUUCGCCUUUACGAAUAAUCUCUGUAAGCAGCACAUCCUAUGUGUAGACCAGUAUUUCAGCUGCUCGAAAGCUACUACUAUUGGGAAUCAAGCAGAAGAUACAUUCUAGAUAUAAGGUCAAAGUGUGGGAGGAUCCUUGGAUCCUUACAACACCAGCUAGACCGGCUCGCCCUUUAGCCCCAGUUUUGCACCCGAACAUGAGAGUCAGCGACCUUAUUGAUCAGGAAUCGAAGGAAUGCGAUGUUCGACUACUGAAGGAUUACGUUGCCCCUGCUGAUAUACCUUUCGUAAGAAUUUUUCCCAUAAGCUCAACUCAUCGGCGUGACACAUUCGGUUGGAACUACACUAAAAAUGGCCAGUACACGGUUAAAUCUGGAUAUUGGGUAGCUCGGAACUUAUUGAAGGCUGAAGAAGAGAAAGAGGUACUGGAGCCCAGUAUAACUAAGCUUCAAGCCUUUGCUUGGACGAUAAAAGCGCGUCAGAAAAUAUGUCAUCUUAUAUGGCAAUUGAUAACAGGUCAUGUUGCAGUAACGAGAAAUUUGAUACGGCGUAAUAUGAGAUGCGAUAACUAUUGCCCCCGAUGUGGAGAACCAGAAGAGUCUGUUACUCAUGCCAUCUUCGAAUGCUCGCCAGCUCUACAAGCUUGGUCCCUAUCAGCAACACCCACAAGUCCUGAUAUCUUUCCGUUGCCGAGUGUUUAUGCUAAUAUGGAUUAUCUAUUCUGGAGAAAGAACAGCACUGUCGAGCCAGAAUUAGACAGAGAUCCUUAUCCCUAGAUAAUCUGGUAUAUUUGAAAUGCCAGAAAUGACAAGCUCUUUAGGGGGAUGGACAGGGAUCCACUGGAGCUAGUUUGUUAUGCAGAGAGUGAGUGUUAAGCCUAGUUCAACGCCAACGAGAUUGUGCCACAUAUUCCACAAGAUCAAAUUAUUGAGGAACUCCAAGUCUUAAGCUUGGGUAAUAUAUGCAUGAUAAAUGGGCCUUGGACAUCUACAUCACAAUUCAGUGGGAGUGGAUGAGUUUGGAUGGACAGCUUGGGGAAGGUUCAACUUAUGGGGACACGAAAUUACCCACGGCGAGAGUAUGCCUUGCAUUCAGAAGUGGAAGCACUACGAUGGGCGAUGGAGAGUAUGCUCCAGCAUUCAACAUGUCAGAUCUUUUUGGACGGAUUGCAAAGAUCUGAUCGCCAUGAUUGGUGUUAGGAAAACAAAACCUCUCUCUAGAUAGGAUUGUAAGGAGUCUUAGAUUUUCACUUUUAUUAUCAAAAAUGGAAUCAUAUUUUAGAUCUUCAUCAUACAAAUUCCAAUCCGCCUCUUCAUUUUCAAGAUCGGAAAAAAGCUAUAAAAGAUUCAAAAAAGAUAGUAACUAGUCAAAAAACAACUAUAGAUGAUUUCCAAGGAUCAAUUGAUAAUUGGGAGAUCCCAAGAGUUCAUAAAGAUCAAAUUUAUCAAAUCUUGAAAAUGAAUUUUCUAAGAACAAUUUUUUCUAUUAAAACUGAGGAACGUGAUAUUCAACUUAAAAAACCUUUUGAGACGAUUCAUUUAUUUUCUGAAAGUGCUUUACAAAGGCACAUAGAAAAAACUUUAAAUAUAUUCAUAUUGGCUUGGUUCAAGUCGGUUUUAAACCUCUUUAAAAAAAAGGUUAAAUACUUCAAUAUUAGCUAUUUUAAGAGACACACGAUUUAAAGUAUUUGAAGAUUCUUUGUUAAGCUCGGUUGAAUGUAGUUUAUGUACUGGACCAGUUUUAUUUGAUUGCUAUCCAAACUUUACUGUUUCUCUAAAUGACAAAAAUAUUUUAAAAUCUUUGGUGUUACAAGUUAAAAUGCACAACUAUUAAAUGAUUGAAGGAUCCAUUUCAAUUGCUUUGAUCUUUAGAGUUCAUUACGAAACUAUGACAAGUGCUUUUUCUUCAAAGGUAAAAAUUUCCAGCAAAAAGGGGAGACCCUCUUGCUUCAAACUGAUCUUUCAAGAUCUAACUCUGUUAUUUCGAAAUCCAUCCAAUGGAAAGAUAUAAAUCUUCUAGACUAAUGAGUCCUCGAAGGAGCUUGUCCAUAUGGAUGCAGAGCUACCAGUUUGGUUUACAGAGUCUACAUGAUUCUGUUUAUGUUGCUGACAAAAAAAAAUUAGUUAAUUGCUACUAUGAAACCAUACAUGUAAAUAAAUAAUUUAAAGUUUACAUGGAAAAUGUCGACAUCUAAACUCAAGAGUAUACAGAUUCUAGACUAGAGCCCCAAGGUUUUCCAAUUGGUUAGUGUCAAGUGCAUCAAAUACUUCAACAUCAUGGGUCAUCAUCAUUGUCUCUUUCUUUGUUCUAUGUUGCUUCUUAUUCUUUUUUUUUUUCUCUUCAAUCCUUAUUCAGAUCAAAUUACUUGUUGUGAGACCUUUCAUAACCACCACUUGAUUUAUCUUAGAUGGACAUCCGACAAAAAAAAAACCAUAACAGCAAAAUGAAGAUUUAUUUCCUUUAACUUAAUAUUUGGAAUCCAGUCUAGUAACUCAUAACAUAUUUUGAAUUUUUUUAGACAGUUAACAAUCUUUUCAAGCCACAAACACCCAAAAAACUAAGGAAAGAAAUUGAAUCUUGCAUAAACCUAUUUAAAAGCAAGCAACCUAAUCAAUAAAAACAAUUUUUAGAAAUUUUUUUUUAUUAAUUUUACGCAAUAGUCAUGAUAUUUCUUCAAAUGGCCAAAACAAUUAGCCGGUUUACUUGGCCUCUAACAAAUAUUCCUCACAUAAACCAGUUAAAAAAUGAUGGAGAGAAAAAAAAGAUGAUCAAGAGAAAAAAAAUAGAGAAAAUAAAAGAAAAUAUAAAAGCUAGAAAAUGAAUAAGAGAAGAAAGAAGAAGAGAAAUACAAACUGGCUACCACUUGGCUGACACAUUUCAGAGCCUCGUCGAACAAAGCGUGCUACACUACAAGAAAACACAAAUUUAACGACGGCCAAAAUCGUCGUUAUUUCCUCGGAAAAGAAGGCUUACGAGAAAAUGGCGAUGAAAGGCGUUUCGUCGUUAUAUGAUUGUCGUAAGAGAAGAUUCGUCGCCAUUUCCUCGUUAAUUAGCGAGGUUAUAUUUUCCUCGUAAAGAAGAAUUAAGUUUUCGUCGUAAAGACCACGUGGGGUUUCCACGUAACGCGGUCGUUGUGCUUCCUCGUAAGAAACUCGUAAAUGAUUCGUCGUAAAAGACACGCAAAAACCUCUAAAUAAAUUCGUCGUAAUAAAAACGUAAGAAACACGAAAAUAAUUCGUCGUAAUAGAAUCGUAAGUAAAUCCACGUAAAAUCCUCGAUAAUUGUUCCUCGAUAUUUCGUCGUUAAUUUUCCUCGUUAAUACAUCGGGAAUUAGCGACGAAAUUACUUUGUUUUCUAUUUACUGAAUUUAUAAAUAAAAAUUAUAUUUAUUUAAUUUAUUAAUAAAAUUUUAAUUGAAAUUAAAUCGAAUAGGAAAAAUUUUUUUGGCCGAAUUAAAAUGAAAUUAUAUAAUAUAUAAAUAAGUUUUGAAUUUUAAAAUACAAUAACAAAAAAAAAACUAAUGCUGCAUUGCCGCGUCGUAGAAUUCCUCGCUCCUUCUCGAGAGAUCUUCCUCGUUGACUUGCACGGAUGUCUCGCCUGGAAUGGGGUUUUGUUGUCUCAUGGUCCUGAACAUGGCCUCCCAUUCCGGAUUUGUGGCCGCUAUGACGUCCAAGAAGUUCUCGAGACCAGUCAUACGAGCUGUGAACGACGAUUUUGUCGAGGCCAACUCGUUUUGUGUCGACGACAGCUGAUGUUGUGUCGUCUCCAACACGUCGCGCAGCUGAGAGACUUCAUCAUCCCGUCUCUGGCCAUAAGAGGAAGUCGCUCUCGGAACAUCGUUGACGGAACCAAUCCCCAACACACGUCCCUUUUUCUUGGGAGCAAGCUUAAAAAACAAUAAAAUAUAUAUUAAAAUUUAAAUUUUAAAGUAAAAUGGAAUUAAUAAAAAAUUUAUAUAAAAUUUACCUCCUCGUAAAUUCUAUCCACUUCUAUUGUGGAUAAGACGACGGGUGAUCCGUCGGCGGACUCCUGCGCCAGCUGGGUCUCACGCUCGUCAAUACGAGCUGCCACAUCAUUGUAGAUCUUCUCAGACUUCUCAUCUACAAAUGCGCCCGCCUUGUUCUUGUGGGUCCGAUCGAAAAGUUCCAUAAGAGUCGGUAAACGUCCCAACUCCUUGGCCUAAAAAUAGUUAAGAAAGUUUUUAUUAUAUAUAUAAAAAUCAAAAAGUUAAAUAUUUAAAUUACGUACCAUUUCCAAACGGACGCGGGCGUGUGGCUUUUGGCCCGUACUAUGUUGCAUCGCCCUGUGGCCGUGCUCAUCUACCGAGUUACGGGAGGCGGAGCAAGACUGGGCGACUCUCAUGGCAUCAGGAUCCCUCCAGUAACGGAUGAGGCCAUCCCGCACGUCCGUGGUGAUGGAUGUGGGUUUGCCCCGCUCAUAGCCCUUCACGAUCCAGUCACCCUUCCAGUUGGAGACCGUGUCCAACAAACGUUUCUUCGCCUUGUCGAUAAACUCUUUCCGCACCUUCUCAGUGACCCUCAUGGACCAAUUAAAUUUUUGCUGCAAAAAAAAAAAAUAUUAAUAAUUAGUUUAGAAAAAUAAAAUUUAAAAAAAUAUAAAUCAGGAAUAAAUUGUAAAAACUUACAGCGUAAAUCUUGAACCACGUCCUUCUGAUGUAGAUCGGAGUGGAUUUCCAGUUGGGAUGUGCCAUGGAGAAGUAACCUUUAAUCGUCUCGGUUACUUCUGUUGCAAGGCAGUUAUCAACCCCAAACCUGGAAAAAAAAACAAAUUCAAAGUUUUAAAUAUUUAUUAAAGUCACAAAUGAAUUUUAAAAAAUAAAUGUAACAUACAUACCAAAGUGUUCCUUCAGGUCGGUCGGGGUCUAUGAUCGGUAAGCCUUCUCUGCCUGGCAAACCGAGAAUGUCCUCAACAGUGUACUGAGAGUAAGGACAACUCGCUGGCACCAUCAAAUCAGCAUGAACCUGAUGGGCGGCCAUCUGAGGAGGCACAUGAGGAGCUGGCAUCGGAGGAGGAGCUACCGGAGGAGGCACAUGAGGAACUGAUGGCGAUGCCGUAGAAGAAGGCGAGACUCUCUGAGAAGAUUGAGUCUCGGGGACGGUCUCCUGCUGACCCGAAGAACCGGGAGCUGAAGAAGAACCGGGAAGUGAAGGCGGGUCUAACCGACUACCCGGUGGACCGAACAUCUGCGAGUAGUGAGCACUACGCUGGUGUCUACGAAUAGUCCGCAAAAUUUAAAUUUCUAAAUUAAAAUCAAAAGUAAAUAAAAAAUUAUGAACAUUAUUAACUACGUAAUUAAUAAAAUGAGGAAACCUAAAUUUUGUAAACUAAUUUCGUAAACUAAAUCCCCUAAACUAACCACCUAAUCUAAAUUCCCUAAACUACUUAGAGAGGAAAGAGAGUUACCAUGUUGAGAGGAAAUGGAGAGGCUGUAGAGAGGAAUUAGAGAGGAAAUGAAGAGGGCUGCGGUUUCGUCUAUAUAUAGGAUUAGUGUUCGUCGAAAAUUCAUCGCAAAAUAACGAGGAAAGACAGAGGCCCGUCUUUCGUUUUGUCGCAAGGCCCAAGCAAACUAACGAGGAUAUACAGAGGCCCGUCUUUUAUUUAACGUCGUUCUUGCGAUGAUUUUUGUUUUAUCAUCGAUUUUACGUGGGCCCGUCUUUCGUUUCGUCGCAAGGUCCAAGCAAAUUAACGAGGAUAUACAGAGGCCCGUGUUUUAUUUAACGUCGUUCUUGCGACGAUUUUUGUUUUUAUCAUCGAUUUUACGUGCAAAUAGCGAGGCUUUUUUUGCUAACCCCUAAAAUCUUAAACCCCAAACCUCAAACCCUAUCUUUCUUAUAUUUCUUAUCUAAUACUUCAUAUAUUUCUAACCCUUUAACUUCAAUAUAUAUAUUUUUUUGAAUUUGAAAGGUUUAAUACGUUGGAAAACAAUUUUACAAAUUUUGAAUUUGACGUAUCACACAACAAAUCAAACACACGCUACAAAUCAUAUAUGAAAGGUUUAAAAACAAAAAAAAAAAGAGAAGAAGAUAUUUGAAUACAAAUGAUGCAGAUUUAUGUGGGCUACACUUACGUAUCUCGUCAUAUGUGUUUCCAAUAUCUUUCUUCUCUUUUUUUUUUUAAGUUUAUAUAAAAUUGAAAAUUAAUUUUUUUUUAGUUUAUAUGAAGUAGGAUGGGGAGUUUUAGGGUUUGCACAUUUGGGGUUUAGGGAUUUGGGUUUCAUUUUAGUUUAGGGUUUAUAUUUACCGACGAAUUAACGACGAAAAGUAAAAUAAAAAAGCUAACCUCGCUCAUUCCACGUAAGUUAACGAGGCUCUUACGACGUUUUAGUCUUACGUGGAAUAAGCGAGGUCUGAUUUUUUAAUUAUAAAUCGUCGCUUAGUCCACGUAAGUUACGAGGCUCUUACGACGUUUACUGUUACCGUGGAAUAUGCGAGGUAAUGUAUUAUUAAUCGUCGUAAAAUUCCCGUAAGAUAACGUGGAAAGUACGACGACUGUCUCUAAACCCCUAAAACGAAACCCCAAAUCCCAAACCACAUCUUCUUUAUCUUCUACUUCAUAUAUCAAACACUUCUAUCCUUUAACCUCAAGCAAUUCAUUCUAAUCCAAACCGAAAAUUAUAAAAACACAAUUCCUUUACUUAUAAUUAAUGUCGAUAUCUUAUUUAUAAAUAAACUCCCAUUAUCUUUAAUUAUAUAUAAUAAAUCAAACUCAUACAAAUAUGAAAUACAUUAAUCGGAUUCAUCGACAUUCUCGUCAUCACUUGAAACAUCAUCAUUUACAUGAAACUCGUCUUCAACAGCUUCCUCCGUGGGAUCUUCGGUAAGAUCUUCAUACUCGUGAUUAUGCGGAUCAAUGAGAAGGAUGUCAUCAAUUUCUUGUUCAGGUUCAUGAACUUCAUUUAUUUGUUCUUCUUGCAAUGGUGGUUCUUCUCCUACGAUGAUUCGUCCUCGAGGUGUAACUUUGAUCACGGCUAACCAAUUUAUACCCGACUCUCUCAUCCGUGGGUAUGGAAGGAAGCUAACUUGGUCUGCUUGUGAAGCUAAGAUGAAGGGCUCGAAUUUGUUGUACCUCCGGCCACCGUUGACAUCUACUACACCGAAUUUGUUCAACCGAACACCUCUAUUGACGACGGGGUCGAACCAUUCACACUUGAAGAGGACGCAUUUUAGCUUCAAUAUCCCUGGGAAUUCGACUUCAAUAAUCUCCGUCAAGAUUCCGUAGAAAUCUGUUUCUCCUUUCACACAAAUUCCAUAGUUACUGGUUGCCCGCUGUUUACCAUACACAUAUGUGUGAAAAGUAUAGCCUCGUGUGAAAUACAUCUGUGAUGUGGUGACCUUUACAAGUGGAGAUUGAAUUACUUCGUGUAACCACUUAGGAUAAUCUGCAUCGUCGUCCUAAUCAACCUAUUUAAAAAUAAAAAAAACGUUGAAAUACAAAUCAUUCAUGUAUGAAAAUUUUAAAAGUAUUUGAUUAAUACCUGAUUCUUCAACCACUUAACAAAGUGUUGAUCUUUUCUUUUGUCUACGUCACUUGUGGAUAUACCAGGAAAUGUUUCUUUAACUUGUGAAACAAACAUGCUGUAAAUUCACAUUUUACAUGAAUUAAUCUCUCUCAAUUAUAUAAUGUAUACUCAAUUUAAGUUACCUUUCAAAAUAACGCAUCAAUGGAUCCUCGCAAUUGAGUAGAAUAUAGGUGUGUGCACUAUGAGCGUCUUCUUCACUCGACCACCAAACCUGUUUUGAUUUCCCACCAAGUCGUCCAAUCUGGCUAAAGAUUUCUGGAACACCAACAACUGCAUAUGUGGGCGCAACGCCACCAUCAUCAUAUCUUCUUGGAGCUCUUCUUUGGGUACGUACUUUUGACGCAAAGUAGUACGAUGUGAAGUGAGAAACUUCUUCUGUCAAACUUCCAGCAAUUAUAGAACCUUCAACUUUGGCGAGGUUCUUUGCUUUUCCCUUCAAAUAUUUCAUGGCUCGCUCGUACUGAUACAUCCAUCCGUAAUGUACCGGUCCACGAAGCAAUGCCUCAUAUGGGAGGUGGAUAGCUAGAUGCUCCAUCACGUCAAAAAAGCCUGGAGGAAAUAUCUUCUCCAAGUUGCACAAUAAGAUAGGAAUGUUCUCCUGAAGCUGUUCUACGACUUCUUCUUUAAGAGUGCGUGUGCUCAAAUCCCUGAAAAAUGCUCCAAUGCCUAUUCCAAAAACAAUUAAACACAUUGUUAGUCAAAUACUAUUAUUGCAAACUAAACCAAUUUAAUAUUAUUGUCCUAUUGUAAACUACCUGCAAGUGCUUCAUGUACGUUUGUUGCAAGUAGCUCCGCAAAUGCAAAUGGCAGAAGUCGUUGCAUAAAGACAUGACAAUCAUGACUCUUCAUCCCGGAGAACUUUUGACCCUUUUCAACACAUCUUGAAAGAUUUGAAACAUACCCAUCAGGGAACUUCACUUCUGAUGCCACCCAAUUGAACAAAACCGACUUUUUUUCUGAAGACAAUCUAAAAAUUGGAACGGGAACUUGGCCAUUGCUUUUUAUAUGUAACUCACUUCUUGAGCAAAUAUCCGGCAAGUCCAACCUCGAUUUUAUGUUGUCUUUUGUCUUCCCUGGGACAUUCAAUAUUGUAUUCAUGAUGUUCUCAAAGAAAUUCUUCUCUAUAUGCAUCACAUCAAGGUUGUGGCGCAGAAGAAGAUCCUUCCAAUAUGGUAACUCCCAAAAUAUACUCUUCUUGUGCCAGUUGUGAUGAACACCGUAAGAAUCAGGUAUAUUACGAGGGACAUGCCAAUUACCACCCCAGCGAACUGUUUCGUUAGCUCCGUAGUAGUCUAUUUGCGCUUCAAUUUGUUCUCCAGUUAGAUAUGGAGGAGGAGUGUCUCUCACAACCUUUUUGUGCCUAAACAAAUUCUUGUUUCUUCGGUACGGAUGGCCAACUGGAAGAAAUCGACGGUGACAAUCGAACCAACUUGUCUUUCUACCAUUCUUCAGUUGAAAUGCAUCUGUCGUUCCAUUACAAUAUGGACAAGCUAAUCUCCCAUGUGUAGUCCAUCCAGACAACAUCCCAUAGGCAGGAAAGUCACUUAUGGUCCACAAAAGCAUAGCUCGCAUCGUAAAAUUCUUCUUCGUUGAGCAGUCAUACGUCCUCACCCCUGUUGACCACAAAUCCUUCAACUCUUUUAUCAGUGGUUGUAGGAAAACAUCAAGUGACCUUUUUGGAUGCUUCGGACCGGGUAUUAAUAUGGUCAAGAAUAAAAACUCCUGUUGCAUGCACAUCUCCGGUGGCAGGUUGUAUGGCGUAAGAAAGACAGGCCACAAUGAAUAUUGUCUCCCUGACAUUUCAAAUGGACUAAAUCCAUCUGUGCAUAAUCCGAGGUACACAUUCCGGCUAUUGCUAGCGAAAUUCAGAUGUACUUUGUUAAAAUGUUUCCAGGCUCUUGCAUCUGAUGGAUGAGUCAUCUCACCAUCCGUCUGAGUAUGCUCGGCAUGCCACCUCAUCUUUCCAGCAGUCUGCUCCGAUUGGUACAAUCUUUUCAAUCUAUCUGUAAUUGGUAGGUACCACAUCCUUUGGUACGGUACCCUAUUACGUCCCCUUCCUUGCGGCUUGAAUCGUGGUUUCUUGCAGAAUCGACAUUCUUCCAACUUCUCAUCAUCUCCCCAGUAGAUCAUGCAGUUGUCGAUGCAAACAUCUAUCAUCUCCGAAGGCAACCCAAGACUAUAAACCAGUUUCUGAAUCUCAUAAUAAGAAUCAGCAGACUCAUUGUCUUCCGGCAAAUACUCUUUAAAUAAAUCUGCCCAUUCGUUCAUGCAACUUUCAGGUAGAUUGUGAUCAGUUUUAAUAUACAUCAUUCUAGCAGCCAAUGACAAUUUAGAGAGACCUUCUCUACAACCACUGUAAAGUGGUUGAUUUACCGCAUCUAACAUUUCAUAAAACUUUUUUGAAUCUAUGUUAGGUUCUUCAUCUUCAUCAUCAUGAGCUACGAAUGCAUCAGUUACCAUAUCAUGAACCCUAUCAUAAUCUACCAUCGGCUGAUCCUCCUGAUGGUAACUAUGUGCAUUAUGCAAUUGAUGAUCAACCGGUUCUUCUUGAAAGUUGCUAUUACUACUACUAGCUUCAUUCUGAUCAUAACUAUAACCUUCUCCAUGUUGAAACCAGAUAUAAUAAUUUGGCGUGAAACCUCUAUUUACUAAAUGCUUCCAAACAUUUUCACGAUUUGCCAACUUUGAAUUGUUACAUUUCCUACAAGGACAGAAUAUUUUACCGCUUUCUUGGGCGAGCGGUGUAGAAUCUGCUUGAUGCAUAAAACGCUCCAACCCAGCAAGAUAUUCUUUCGUCACUCUCCCGUUAGCAUCUCUAUGCAUAUACAUCCACCUCCGCAACUCGAAAAUAUUUCCCAAGCCCGACAUUUUUUUCACGUUUUUUUUCUUGUUGGUGUGCUUAAAAUUAUGUUCAAACCUCCAUAUAUAUAGAAAAUUUUCGAAUCUGGUAGUUGAAUUUUGCUAGGAAUUUACGACGAAAAAUUAGGUAGGUGGCAAAAAAAACGUGUUAAGUUGGUGGAUUUCUCGUUCUUUCCUCGUAAGUUAUUUCCUCGUAAAAAUCAUGCUAAAAUUACGACGAAUUUGCGACGAAACACAUUUUUCUCGGAAAAACCACGUCAACUUACGACGAUUCUACGAGGAAAAGAGUUACUCGGUAUUUUACAAGGCCAUUACGAGGAAACUUUAUUUCCUCGCAAUUUCAUCGUUAAGUCAUCGUAAUUUCACGAGGAAUAGUUUUCCUCGUUAAAUUUCCUUGCUAAAACUGUGUUUUCUUGUAGUGAAUAAACGAUAUAAUAAAAGCGAUAUGUUAAGGAAAUAGACGAUUGUAAAGGGCGAAUACAAGAACGAUAAAAAAUCGUAUUCUCAAACGAACAUGGAGUCGAGAUAUAAUCUAUUUCCUUAACUCUAAAUAUUCGCUCCGUAAGUUAAUGAGACGGUACUGUACGAAUAUCAAGUCCCAUGAUAUAACGAUGGCAGGCGAAUCACGCUUCACUCGUGAUCGCCCUAUCGAGCUAUAAACUCUACGAAACACUCUCGUAUUUAAGACUUACGCUAAGGAAAUUUUUGCUGUUGGUUUCGAUGUGAAAAAGUUAAGAAAUGAGGAAGACAUUCACUCUGUUUAUAAAGGGAAACGAGAGCUCUGUUGGUUCCGCAAAUGAAGGCACGUGCGCACGAGGCGUCAGACUCGGAAAAUUGCUCGACGUGCGGAGAGAGGGAGAGAUCGUUAGGGCGAAAAAUCCGGAUAAGAUUUUGUUCGAAUUUUUAAAGUAUAUUUGUUUUUCAAAAUUUUAAAAACGAAAAAACAAAACACAAAAUCUUGGUUUGGCCUAACAAAUUGUUAACCUGAACUUGGUCCAAAAAAAAUCUUAUUGGGCCGGAGGUCCUCCACCAAGACCCAAACCCAAACACAAGCCCAGCCCGAGCCGAACAGAGCCGGACGGCGGCGGCGGCGCGCGCGUGGGAAGCCUUCUCCUCUCUCUAGCUAUUUAACCCAUGACAUCAUGGGAUCAUAUAUAAACAGCUCUAACCUUCUUCUCCCGUCCGAUGUGGGACUUUCCCCACUUCACCAUUUCAUUUAUUUGACAUUUCUUUUGGGCUCAGACCCAUAUCAUUUGUUAUUCACAUUUUAAUAAAGCUCAUUGGCUUUAUUGUUCCAACAAUCCCCCACAUGAAUAGAAAUGACUCUUCUAAACAUAUGCAGACUAAAUGCAUACUCUUUAGACUCUAAAAAACUAUAUUUAUUCUAAUCCUGACUAGACUAGAUAGACUUAUCGAGAGUGUUUGCGAAAAAUUUAUUGUGUUUGAGUUGGUGGCAUUUUUAAGCCUUGAACCACUCAUAGUUAAUAUAUGUCGGGUUUACUUUACCAGAAGGUGAACAUGAUAUCUUGAACCAACCGGUGUUUUAUGUAGACUGAGACAACAUGCAUAACGCAGCUUCAUUUUCUCGUAGAACUUAGUUCUUUUAUGUAUUCAUUGUGGCCCUGAACUAUUUCUGGUUUUCAUGAAUGAACUUAGAGAAUAUAUUAUUGCAUUGAUUCUCCUAGAAACGACCCCAUUUCACACUCAUUUGGUGAUUGACCAUGAAAAGUAUUGAGUAAUACUCCACUUAGAAGCUAUGGAAUCAUUAAAAGCUUAUGCUUAUCCUUCUCACAUUUGUUAGCAUUUUUAUCAUCUUAGGAGCUGGGAAGAGACUAUUUGUCUCAAGUGCUUUGGUUAGAUUAUGUUUGAUUUUGUUUUCCCUUUGAACCUACGUCUUGGGAUCUCCAGUCAUAAUAGGUAGGGUUGCAAUCAAGCAUCCUCAUUCGUUAUAGGCUUUAAACCCAUUCCUUUUGAUGAUUUAGCAACAACAUCUCGUGGCAAACCUUUUGUAAAUGGAUCCGCUAGGUUGUCAGCCGAUUUGAUGUAGUCUAUUGUGAUUACACCAGUUGAGAUAAUUUGUCUAAUGGUUUUAUGUCGUUUUCUGAUGUGACCAGAUUUACCAUUGUAGAGAUUACUCUGAGCCCGAGCUAUAGCUAAUUGACUAUCACAAUGUAUGCGUAUAGCUGGCACACGUUUCUCCCACAUAGGAAUAUCUUCCAAAAAAAUUCUAAGCCAUUCAGCUUCUUCUGCUGCUUUGUCUAAGGCUAUGAACUCAGAAACUGAGACAAACGUCGAGAUUUCUAUAAAUGAUAUUUCAGAAAAUAAAGAAAAAUAUGAACCUUGAAGAAGCAAAAGAGCUCGAAAGGAAAAAUCUUUUGGUGAAGAUUUCCUAAUGGCAUUUUUAGUAGAAAAUGUUCCUAAAACUUUGGCAGAAGCCAUGGCUUGACCAGAAGCUCCAUUUUGGAACGAAGCUGUCAGGAGUGAAUCUGAUUCUAUCAUGAAAAAUUAUACAUGGUACGUAACGGAUUUACCACCUAGCUGCAAAUCAUUAGGGAAUAAAUGGAUAAUGACACGAAAACCUGGUGGAAAAUACAAAUCUAGGUUAGUAGUUCAAGGAUUCCGACAAAAGGAAGGCUUUUACUAUUUUGAUACAUAUUCUCCAGUAACGAGAAUAACAUCAAUAAGACUGAUGAUUACAAUCACAGCCUUCAAAGACCUAGAAAUCCUUCAAAUGGAUGUAAAAACCGCUUUUCUAAAUGGUGAUUUAGAAGAGAAAAUUUACAUGAAACAACCUGAAGGUUUUGUCAUUUCCGGACAGGAAGAUAAAGUAUGCCGACUUGUGAAGUCACUUUAUGGGCUUAAACAAGCUCCCAAAGAAUGGCACGAAAAAUUUGACAAUACAAUGAUGUCAAAUAGUUUCAAAAUAAAUGAAUGUGACAAAUGCAUAUACUACAAAACAACCAAAAAUACGUAUGUUUUGCUAUGUCUAUAUGUAGAUGAUAUGCUCGUUAUUAGAAGCAAUAAAGACAUUACCAAUCAAACAAAGAACAUGCUCAAAGGGAAAUUUGAGACGAAAGACUUGGGAUUAGCAGAUGUAAUUCUCGGGGUUAAAGUCACAAGAAAUUCAAGCGGAAUUAUCUUAACCCAAUCUCAUUAUGCUCAAAUAAUAUUAGAGAGAUUUAAAAAUUACUCUAAAAGUACAGCAAAAACUCCGUUAGAUCCCCAAAUGCACUUGACAAAGAAUUCAGGUGAAGCGGUUUCACAAAACGAGUAUGCAUGUGUGAUCGGAAGUCUCAUGUACUUGACUAAUUCUACGAGACCAGAUCUAGCGCAUGCAGUAAACGUACUUAGUCGAUAUACAAGUAAUCUAGGUCAUACACACUGGAAAGUUAUAACGAGAAUACUCAAUUACUUGUGUUACACCAAAGAUUUGGGGCUUCACUAUGGUAAAGAACCAACAGUUUUAGAAGGAUACAGUGACACUAACUGGAUAUCAGAUUCUAAAAACUCAAAAUCCACAAAUGGAUAUGUCUUUAGAUAAGGAGGAGCAGCAAUAUCAUGGAAAUAUACCAAACAAUCACUGUUAGCCAGAUCCAGCAUGGAAUAUGAGUUCAUAGCCCUAGACAAAGCACCAGAAGAAGCUGAAUGACUUAGAAAUUUUUUGGAAGAUAUUCCUAUGUGGGAGAAACCUGUGCCAGCUAUACGCAUACACCGUGAUAGUCAAUCAGCUAUAGCUCGGGCUCAGAGUAAUCUCUAUAAUGGUAAAUCUCGUCACAUCAGAAGACGACAUAUAACCAUUAGACAACUUAUCUCAACUGGUGUAAUCACAAUAAACUACAUCAAAUCGACUGACAACCUAGCGGAUCCAUUUACAAAAGGUUUGCCACAAGAUGUUGUUGCUAAAUCAUUAAAAGGAAUGGGUUUAAAGCCUAUAACAAACGAGGAUGCUUGAUUGCAACCCUACCUAUCAUGACUGGAGAUCCCAAGACGUAGGUUCAAAGGGAAAACAAAAUCAAACAUAAUCUAACCAAAGCACUUGAGACAAAUAGUCUCUUCCCAGCUCCUAAGAUGAUAAAAAUGCUAACAAAUGUGAGAAGGAUAAGCAUAAGCUUUUAAUGAUUCCAUAGCUUCUAAGUGGAGUAUUACUCAAUACUUUUCAUGGUCAAUCACCUAAUGAGUGUGAAAUGAGGCUGUUUCUAGGAGAAUGAAUGCAAUGAUAUAUUCUCUAAGUUCACUCAUGAAAACCAGAAAUAGUUCAGGGCCACAAUGAACACAUAAAAGAACUAAGUUCUACGAGAAAAUGAAGCUGCGUUAUGCAUGUUGUCUCAGUCUACAUAAAACACCGGUUGGUUCAAGACAUCAUGUUCACCUUCUGGUAAAGUAAACCCGACAUAUAUUUAACUAUGAGUGGUUCAAGGCUUAAAAAUGCCACCAACUCAAACACAGUAAAUUUUUCGCAAACACUCUCGAUAAAUAUGUCUAGUCUAGUCAUGAUUAGAAUAAGUAUAGUUUUUUAGAGUCUAUCGAGUCUGCAUUUAGUCUGCAUAUAUUUAGAAGAGUCAUUUCUAUUCAUGUGGAGAAUUUUUGGAACAAUAAAGCCAAUGAGCUUUAUUAAAAUGUGAAUAACAAAUGAUAUGGGUCGGAGCCCAAAAGAAAUGUCAAAUAAAUGAAAUGGUGAAGUGGGGAAAGUCCCACAUCGGCCAGGAGAAGAAGGUUAGAGCUGUUUAUAUAUGAUUCCAUGAUAUCAUGGGUUAAACAGCUUGAGAGAGGAUAAGGCUUCCCAUGCGCGCGCCGCCACUGCCGUCCGGCCGGCUUGGUUCGGCGUGGGCGUGGGCUUAGGCUUGGGCUUGGGUCUUGGGUCUUGGUAGAGGGCCUCUGGCCCAAUAAGAUUCUUUUUGGACCAAGUUCAGGUUAACAAUUUUUUGGGCCAACCCAAGCUUUUGUGUUUUGUUUUUUCGUUAUUAAAAUUUUGAAAAAUGAAUAUACUUUAAAAAUUCGAACAAAAUCUUAUCCGGAUUUUUCGCCCAACGAUCUCUCUCUAUCUCUGCACGUCGAGCAACUUCCCGAGUCUGACGCCUCGUGCGCGCGUGCCUUCAUUUGCGGAACCAACAGAAAAGAUUUUAUAAGCUGGAAAACCGGACUGAAAUAAACGAUAUAAUAAAAGCGAUAUGUUAAAGAAAUAGACGAUUGUAAAGAGCGAAUACAAGAACGAUAAGAAAUUGUAUUCGUAAACGAACAUGGAGUCUAGAUAUAAUUUCUUUCCUUAACUCUAAAUAUUCGCUCCGUUAGUGAGACGGUACUGUACGGAUAUCGAGUCCCAGGAUAUAACCAUGGCAAUCGCACUAUGGAACUAUAAACUCUACGAAACACUCUUGUAUUUAAGACUUACGCUAAGAGAAUUUUCGCUGUUGGUUUCGAUGUGAAAAAAGUUAAGAAAUAAGGAAGACUUUCGCUCUGUUUAUAAAGGGAAAUAAGAGCUCUGUUGAUUCCGCAAACGAAGGCACGUGCGCACGAGGCGUCAGACUCGGGAAGUUGCUCGACGUGCGGAGAGAGGGAGAGAUCGUUGGGCCAAAAAUCCGGAUAAGAUUUUGUUCGAAUUUUUAAAGUAUUUUCGUUUUUCAAAAUUUUAAAAACGAAAAAACAAAACACAAAAGCUUGGUUUAGUCCAACAAAUUGUUAACCUGAACUUGGUCCAAAAAGAAUCUUAUUGGGCCGGAGGCCCUCCACCAAGACUCGAGACCCAAGCCCACGCCGAGCCGGCCGGACGAGGGUGGCACGUGGGAAGCCCUUCUCCUCUCUCAAGCUGUUUAACCCAUGAUGUCAUGGGAUCAUAUAUAAACAGCUCUAACCUUCUUCUCUCGAUUGAUGUGGGACUUUCCCCACUUCACCAUUUCAUUUAUUUGACAUUUCUUUUGGGCUCGUACUCGUAUCAUUUGUUAUUCACAUUUUAAUAAAGCUCAUUGACUUUAUUGUUCCAACAAUAAGUUGGAUACACUUCAAAAGCACAUGUAAUGCUCCAAGCCCCCAAGGGCCGGUUAGAGUCGCUUUCCAUUUUGUGGCAGAUUUUAAAAUGAAAGAUUUGUAUCUUGACCUAUGUGGCAUUUAAUCAAAUGAAAGUAUUAUUUCCUGAGUUAUCACCUGGCUUAUAACAAGCUUCUGGUAUGGACAAGAAGAAACAACAGCUGAUGCAGAUAGCGAUUCAGGUAAGUUCUUGUGAUCCAAACUUAUAUCUGUGGGGACUUUUUGAGCUCUUUAAAAUAUCAUAAUAUCCUUCUUUUAAAGUUUAUUCAAAUCAGCUUGCUGAACCUCUGUUUAUGAAUCCGGAAAAGGCAACUACAAAAAAAGCUCUAGAACUGCUCGGUCCAGACUUUGACGCUGCUGACUACAAGGUAAUAUGUCAAUUCAAAUCAAUAUCUAUUGAAGAAAACAGAAGAAAUUAUACUCUCUUUUGUGAUCAAAUAGGUUACUGGAGCAUCGUAUUUACGAUUGAUGUUUUUAAUGAAAUCUGGUACAAAUUGUUGUUACUCACCGGCCAAUCAUCCACUGGUACACUCCCAAAAACACUCUUAUUCAGUUUUUUUUUAGCCAACUCUUGUGGCGUUUACUGGUGUUCUUUAAGUCAGAUAUGAUAUAUAUGACCAAAUUUUGUUGAUUCAGGACACAUCUACCUUUACGUGGAGAGAUUAAUGUUCACAAUUGUGGUAGGAGAAGAGUUACGCCACAGAACGCAAGGCCAGACGCUUAUACCGCAUGUGAAAAACCAAAAGCAUUGGAAUCUUCAUAUUUCAAGUUUGUUUGAUUGCACCGAAAAGCCUUGUUAUCUUCUAGACAUGUUUUUGCGUGUUGUUUAAUAUAGUUUGAAUCAUUAUGGUCAAUGUAAAAGUUGACCGUUAUCAUUCUAUGUAAAUUUGCCGUUUGACCAAGAAUAAUAGACAUUCUUGGAAGUUCACAUUAUCGAUGUUUAAGAUUAAAUCGACUUGGUCUAAGUAUUGCUUACAAAUUGCAAAGGAAAUUGAAGAGCUUCUAUCAUCUUCUUUCCAGCAUGAUUCAUGAUGCAUCAUCGCCCUACGAAUUUGAAGUGUCAUGAAUUUUAAGAGAGCCAUAUAUUUGGUGUUGGGAGAACAAACUAAGACCGUUUCUUCCACAGCCUGACGUGGCAACAAAAGCCAACGAUUAGGAUUAAGAAAAGCUCAACUAGAGCAUGUUGACAAAAAGAACCCAAAAGAAUCCAAGUCUAAUAUUAAUUAUACUUUUCCAAGAAAAGAUAUGAUACACACGUAUUAUACGGUAAUGUUUGUAUGAUGUAUCUAUGUAUUCAACUGUGUUUAGACAUGUACGAAUCUUAAAUAUCCAUAAGUCUUCUGUUGACUUUGUUUGGUUUGUGGAAAAUAAAUACAAGAUACGCCCACGCGCACUACCAGUUACCUCUCCUCAUCUUCUCUCAUUUUCCAUUGUUUCCAUUUUUUUUCUUUAUUGGUUCAAAAUAUAUAAUAUGAACAUUCUAUUCACAACAUAUAUUAUGAACGUUAUAAUUAUCGAUUCUCUCUAUUAAUAUAUACUUUUAAUCUGAUUAUGAAGUUUAUAAGCACUUUGGAAAAUAAAAAGAAGGCCAAGAGCUACGUUUAAGAUAGUUUAACUACACUGAUCUUUCAUCAACAUGCCAGUAGUGCAAACCAAACAAAUGAAGACAUAAUGGAAACACAAACAUUUGGUUGCAUCGUAGUAUAUGAUGACUUGAAGUGUAUACCGGUCUAGAUGGAAUGAAAACAAACAUUGAAAACCGUAACGUGAGACAUUUUCUUGUGAAAUAUUCACAUCACGCAAUUCACGCGCGUGAGGCCAAAUGUACAAAUACAUUUAGUUACGCAAAGUGGAACCUUCUGCAAAUUAAAUAUUACAUUUCUAUACUGUUUAAUAUUUUAUUAAUAGUCAUUUCGUCAUUUGAUUUGGGAAAUUUCUAUAUAAUUUCAAGCCGAAUAAUACUCCGAAUAUUAACUUACAAUAGUUCCCUUUUAGCAAGGACUCUAUGUCCCAUUUAAAAUCAUUUAUCUAUAUAACCAUAAAAGCAGUCCAUUCAUAAUUCAGACAUCCUUUCAUCACAAAAGUUUAUUUUCUGCUAGUUUGAUCUUUUGCCUCUUCUUCAAACAUCAAAGAAAUGGAGCUAUUCACCAAAGGAGACGCCGUUAAGUUAAGGAGCCACCUGGAUAAGUUUUUAGUCGCCGACGACGAUCAAGAAACCAUCCGUCAAAGUCGUAAAGGAGAUGCACGACGAGCCGUAUGGACGGUAGAGACCGUCGAGGCUAAACCGAAUCUGAUAAGAUUAAAAAGCUGUCACGGCACGUACUUAACGGCGAGCAAUAAACCGUUGCUGUUAGGUAUGACCGGUGAGAAAGUGACUCAAACGCACUCGUCUAACAAGCCUAUGGAUUGGCAAACGCAGUGGGAACCGGUGCGAGAUGGUUUCUCGGUGAAGCUGAAGUCUUGGUGCGGUAAAUGGAUGAGGGCUAACGGAGGAACACCGCCGUGGAGAAACUCCGUUACUCACGACGAGCCUCAUACAUCGAAGACCAAGAACUGGUUGGUUUGGGAUGUUAUUACAGUUGAUGGUUCUGAUCUUGAAAACAUGUCUGGUGGAGAUGAGAGCUCUGUUUCUUCCCCGGUUUCUUCACAUAUCUCCGGGUCGGAUCUCGGGUCAGAGCCUGCGUCGCCCGUUUCCGCUAGGUCAAUGAAGAGUAUUGAUCGGUUCGCUUCUCUUGGUUUGAGUUCAAUGUCUCCGAGAUGGUCCUCAAAACCGGUACGUUUGACUAAGUCUUUAAUUAUCAAUUUGCAUUUACAUUGUGCAUUGAAUAGUUUUUUCUUAAUUAAGUGUACCAUAGAAAGUUAUUAUGGUUAGCUGGACUUAGCCCAAUUUUGGUUGGCAUGCAUUAGAUUAGAUAGAAAAAUGUAGGAAUAAUUACCAUACUAGUAAUAUUUAGUGUUAUAAAAACUUGGAAACUAUAUGUACUUAAAUAUACUUAUAUAUAUAUGAUUCUUUUCUCCACUAACAUAUAUAGUGCUCCACAAGCACAUACAUCGUUCCACCAACCUAAUAGCACCGAGAAAUUUCAUAUUUUCUUUUGUUAUAUCUUAUAUUAAUUAAAUGCCUAGUUUACUUAGGGCAUCAAAAAAUUUCUUUAUAUUCCAUACUAAAAUAGAGUAAUUAUAUUAUAGAGUUUAAUUUGCUCCAAUGAUGCACUUUAUAAUAGAGUUAUUUCAUAAUAUAGUAAAAUAUAAAGUAACGUUGUUUUUUCACUCUAUAUUUGGAGUAAAAAGUAACAUUACUCUAUAUUUCACUCUAUAUUUGAAGUAAAAAGUAACAUUAUUCUAUAUUUCACUCUAUUUUAGAAUGAAAUAUAUAGUAAAUUUUCGGGUGCCAUUGGAAUGGUCUUAGAACAACUUCUUAUUUUAUAAUUCACUAUAGAAACUACAACAGUUGAAAAUAUGACAUUUCGAGUCCAGCUAAAGUUACAAACAUGUAAGUGACAGUAAAAGUUCUUACAAAAGUUAUACGUACCUAUAUAGGCUGAUUAAGAAAUUUUUAUACCUAAUCUUUUUGGCGAACAUUUAAAACUUACACCUAAUGGCUUGAUAUAAAUAAAUCUAAUCUCAGCUAACACAAGACACGUGGAAAUAAAGUAUGGUGGAAAAGUUAAUUUAGUUAUGAUUUAUUUGUGAUGGUAUGGACUGUGGGACCAUAUGGUCCAAGGAAGGAAGCAGUUAGGAGAGUCCCACACUCAUGAAUUUCCUUUUUCCUUGGUUUUUCUUGCGGGCAAGAGACUAGACACUUAUUCUAUAAGCAUUCCUUUAAAUCCUCUUUUUCAAAUCUCUUUAUGGCAUAGAGACAGUAUUACAUUUUUUUGGGUAAAAUGUUAAAAUUUUAGUACCAUUUUCUUUUUAAAAAGUUUACAAUAUUGCAAGCAACUUAUUACAACAAAAAAAAGAAAGAAAAAAACAACAACAAUCCAAUACAAUAUUACAUUUUGAGCGAGAAAGGCAUACAAAUGCAUUUUAUUUUGUUAGAAACUAUGUAUUAUAUUUUUCCAUUAUUUCACAUUUAGGUUUAAUGUCUAUACCACCAUUACCUUACACUCCUAAGUUCUAAACUUAAACGGAAUAUUAUAUAUAUGUAUAUCAUUGUAUCAGUGUUCCAAAAAAAAAAAAAUAUAUAUAUAUAUAUAAAUAUCAUCGUGUCAAAUCUUAAGCUAUUAAUGGAACUUGAUAAAACAGUUGCUAUGUUUGUUUUUGAUGUACCAUCGAAAACUACAUGACUAAAUUUCUAAUAGCAUCAUUAUCAAUAAAAGCUAUAUUAAGUUUCUAAAAUAAUAUUUCAAGUAAUAUGCAUGGAACAAUUGACAUGUAGCAAUUUUUGCCAAAAAAAAAUUCAUUUGAAAGACUAUUUUUUUUUUUAAAGACUAUGUUUUUCUUUCUUUAGUUUUAUUUAUUUAUUUAUUUUAACAAGAAAACUCUUACAAAAUUUCACCAAUGCUGAUAACAUGAAAACUCUUACAAAAUUUCACCAAUGCUGAUAACAUGAAAACUUAAGAUGAUCUCUUGGAAAAUGGUAAAAUAACAUGGUGUUUUUUUGUGGAAAUUGGUUACAUAUCUCUAGCAUCACUUUUCAUUAAAAGAAAUACAAAUAGUCCCAUUCCAACUGUAAUUUAAUUAAAGUUUACCACUUUAUCAAUGAUUUUAGAUUAACCUUUGAUUUGAUCCAAAAAAAAAAGAUUAACCUUUGAUAUUGGACAUUGACUCCCAGUAUUCUGUUUAAACUUCUCUUGGAGAACCUGAAUCCAACUUUGUAUUAGCAGAAAAUUUAUAGUUUUGAAAAGUAAAAGAAAUGCUAAGUCCCGAUUUGGUCUUGAAUACAAAGUAAAAUAUAUAUAGUGGGAUUCUCAUCAUUAACUCUUUUUCAGGAUACCAAUCCAGAAAUGUAGUAGUAACAUUGCAUUUGUACUACUUUGAAAUUGAGACACAUUAACAGAAUAAAAACAUGCUAUUACACUGUGCUGACGUGGAAAUUAAAACGCGGUAAAUCCAAUCAGCAAACUCUGACUUUUCAAUUUUCAUGCGUCUCUGACUAGUCCCGUGUAAUGUCCGCGUUACUACAAAAAGUUAGACCAGACCAAGGACAGAGAGAAAGAUGCACAUAUAAACACAAACCGCAUCUUCACCACUUCUUACAUAUUCCCACACUCAUUUUUUUUUUAACAGAAAACGAGUAGCUUCAACCAAAAGGAGAAGACGAGUAGCUUAAACCAAAACGAAACAGUCUCAGCAAUGGAGUUUUUCCAGAAAGCUAAAGCCAUUCGAAUGCGUAACAGCCACAACAAGUAUCUAUCCGCAGACGACGACGAGGAAACAGUGACACAAGACCGAAACGGAUCAACCAAAAACGCUCGAUGGACCGUCGAACCGGUUCGCGAUUCGUACCACGUAAUCCGUCUCAAAAGCUGUUACGGUAAAUACCUAACCGCUUCGAACGAGCGGUUCUUGCUUGGAGCUACGGGGAAGAAAGUGAUUCAGCUAAAACCGAGUCGUCUCGACUCGUCUGUUGAGUGGGAACCAGUUAGAGAAGGAUCCAAGAUUAAGCUCAGGACGAGAUACGGUAACUAUCUACGAGGUAACGGUGGUCUUCCGCCGUGGAGAAACUCGGUGACGCACGACAUUCCUCAUUUGUCGGCUACUCAGGAUUCCAUCUCGUGGGAGGUUGAUGUUGUUGAGAUCUUGGUUAAUCCUCAAGUCACGGCGGAGACUGAGUUCACUCCGUCACCGAAGACGCAGCCUCCGCCGGUGAAGACGCAGCCACCACCGCAUAGGAGGCCAUCGAGGACUCCGUCUUCUCUUUCAGAGAGAUCCGAACAAGAUGUGAGUUACUAUUGCUAAUUACUGAAAUACCCUCAAAUUUUGUUUAUAAUUACCCUCCUGACAUGAACUUUGGUUUUGACCAGUCGGUUGUGUCUCCACCGAAAUCGGAUGGGAGAACGAUAUACUACCACAUCGCUGACGAUGAAGGACACGUGGAGGAUGAAUCGAGCGUUGGAUAUGCUUUCACGUUUAAAGGGAACAGCGUGGCGGAGCUGACUCAGACGUUGCGAGAAGAAACGUGCAUGGAGGACGCUGUGGUGUGCACUCGCAGUCCAUUAAACGGCAAGCUGUUUCCCCUUCGUUUGCAACUUCCUCCUAACAAUGGAACACUGCAUGUCAUUUUGGUACCCUCCAGUGCUAGCCUCUAGACCAGUGAUUGUCUUCUCGUGUGGUGAGUGUUUUGGUGGAGCAUUAUGAUAUGAACCUUAUAAAAGGUCUAUAAGACAAUAAGAUUGGUAGAUGGUACGAGACUCUUGGUAACGGAGAUAAAAGACGUCGCACCAUGAGCAUUGCUUGCUCUACAGUAUGAGUUGAUAUGUGAAAAAAUGCAGUAUAGAGUUUUGAUAAUAGAAAAAAAUGCUUAUACAUUCUUUUUGGUGAAUAUAGACCAAGUUGUUCGUUUUUCUUGUUGUAAAUAAACGAUUUCAUUUUGUAAACGAGCAUUUGGAUUGUUAUUUGUAGGAGCAUGCAUUCGACAGGAACGAGUAUUGUUUUGUUUUUCCUAUGUACAAUAAAUCAUAGUUACUACUUAGUACUUACUGGUAAAUGAAAAGGAGUAUCUUGAAAAAUUGGAGUAUGUGUAAACGUUAGAACAUCAUGUUACGCUGUACCAGAAAUGUUAAUUCAUGUCGGCUGAAUUUCCAUUGAUUUCCUACAACAACCCCCAACACACAAGACUCCAGAGAAAUACAAAUGCUCAACCAUGAAGUCAAAUGCGAGCAUCACUACCCUGAAAAAUUAAAUUGUACAAUAAAAAACAAUCGAAUGCAUGACCGUAUGCAUAUUGUACUAAAAAAUCAGCUAAAAGCCGGAGAAGCAAGUAUUUCCACAACAAUCAUUCAAAAAUGCUAAUGGCAUUAUCCACUAUACAAAUAUCUUAUUUUCUCAUAUACUUGAUUAAAAUACUCUCUUUGGAGAAAAGAAGAAAAAUAAGAGGAAAAGAAAGUGUAUCUUCAUCUGUAAGAAAUAAAUUUUGUUAAACUUUCGUAUGUUAUUUCCAAGAACCACCUAAAUUGAUACAUAAUAAUUUUUUAAAAAUCUAAUCCGCGAAAAAAUAGUUUAGAAAUUAAGGGAGUAAUUUCGGUUCAUUGAUUUUAUCUUUUUCAGUAUCAAUUAUCCAAUAUAUUUAAGAACACAUAGCAGUCACUUACAUCUCUCAGAAAAACCCUAAUCAUCCUCUUCCUCUUCCUCUUCUCUCUCAUUUCUUCACCGCCGCUGUUCAACGGUGGUCACUUUCUCCGCCGAUUAAAUCGAUCUCCUACACAAAUCCAACACCAUGGCACCUACCGCUACUGCGACAGCGACAGCGACAUCUUCCUCAGACGCCAGCGAAGGACCAGUGAUGGGACUCAUCAACAAGCGUCUCCGCGCCCUCCGCAAGAAACUCAACCGAAUCACUCAAAUGGAAGAAUCGAUCUCUCAGGGGAAAACCCUAAACAAGGAGCAACAAGAAGUCCUCCGCUCCAAACCGUCCGUCCUCGUCCUCAUCGAAGAGCUCGACAAGCUCCGCGCUCCUCUCUCCGCCGCCGUCUCCGAAGAAAUCACCCUGGCCACUACUCACCACCUCCACCACCACAAUCAAGCUCCCCCCGAUCAAAACGAAGUAGCUGACGCUCCCGAGGAGGAAGAAGCGAAGAAGUUGGAGGAUUUGGUGAAUCUGUUGUACUUUGGCUCGCUCUUCGACGUGAAGUCGCAGAACGAGUUGGCUUCGAUUAUGCUGACGAGGACGCACGAGAGAGGUUGCUGUUUGGUUUACGAUACGGUUACGGAUGAGUCCACGGAUCUGCUAUGUGAUAAGGAUCUGGAUUUGAUUUCCGAGCUGUGGACUAUGAUGGUAUCCAGGCCUGCGGAUUCGUUCUUGUCUCACAAGAACGCUUUGGAGCGUUGCGUCGAGCAUGCUAAGCUUUGGUUGGCUAACUCGAACCAGCCGAUUGCUUCCAACUGCAAUGUUUCAUGUAAGAAAAAUCCAAAAGUUAGUUUGCUUCUUUUGCUACGUGUUUGUUUUAGUUUUUACUUAUUGGGAUUUGUGGUGUUUCAGAUGCUGGACUGAGAGAGAAGUUGAAGAAGAUUAUGGGUUCUAAUUACUUCACUAUUACUCCUGAGAUGGUUGCUCCUGUUGAAGCAGCGUCUGCAGCUGCUGCUGGUAACUACGGUGCUUUCCAAGUCGCUGCUGACACUGAGCAAAAGGUAGGUAUUCACCUUUUUAGGUUAGGUUUUGAGUUGGAGAGGGAGCUCUCAGUGGUUAUCAUUGAAAUGCUUUGAUCAUCUGAAUUCUCUUUCUUCGUUUGUGUGUGACUUUUUUUUAGGUUGCAUUGCUGUUUUGUUUCAUAACACAUUCUUUUCAAAGCUAAACUGCUUAUUGCUAGUUCUUUGUUUGUUAUCAAAUUGUUAGUGAAUUUCAUAGGUCGAAUGCAUGUUGUUCUUUCUGUUAUGAGAUGCUAAGCUCUAAUUUGAUCCCAAGGAGGAGACUAGUGAUCCCAGAUCGAGUUUCUUUUGUGUAGGAGUCAGAGUUUGUCUAGGCUCUAGGCUUGUGCUUUGUGUGAUCAGGAUAGAGAAGUACAUUGUUAAGUUGAUUGUUACAUUAAUUUUAUGGUCUUUGAGAACUCUGCUCUACGAGUUGUUAAUAUAUUCUGGUUUAUUCAUGUGAGUAGUGAUUAAUAACCGUGACAGUAUUUUUCUUCACUGUGGCGAAUGUUUAAGACAUGUUUCUCUUGAGUGUCUAGUUAUGUGAUGUAGAGAACAUACAUCCUUCGCUUGUGUAUCCAUUGUUCUCUUUCUUUCCGUGGGACUGAUGUUCAUCUGGUUGCAGGAAGAAGACGCAUCAAACAUUAAAGAACAAGAACCUGCUGUUAAUGAUCAAUCUGAGCAACCAAAGGUAAUCCAGUGAAAUGUGGAGCUUUUAAAAGCAUCUUUAUAAAUCGAUUGCUCUAGGCUGAAUUUGUUGAUUUUUUUUUUUUUAUAUAUUUGGGGUUUGAAGGAUGAGUCAGUGACGGAAGGAGAGUUGGUCCAAGGACAGCAGGAACAAGGAUAUACUCAGGUGGAAGGAGGGAGGUCAAAGAGAGAUUAUCAGCAACAGUAUGUACCUCGUGGAACCCACCAGAACCAGAGAGGUCAUAGAGGUGCUAGAAGAGGUCAUUCCAACGCCCCCCGGGGAGGUCGAGGUGGUGGUGGAGGAUACUCGAAUGGGAGGUAUGAAUCUUAUGACAAUUCGGGUGGAAACGGUUACCAAAGGAGCCACUACAACAACAGAGGAAGGGGACGUGGUGGUGGUGGAGGAAACGGCCAUUCAUACAACAACAACAACAACCAAGACUCAAACGUAACUGUUGCGUCUUAGCCUUUCUGCCUUGUUGACUUUUGGGUGCAUGUCCUUGUUUGGGUUUGGAACUUUUGUCAAUUACUCUUUGGUGUUAUGUUAUGAACUUCUGUUUUUCUUUUGUAGCCAUCAAUCAAUAUGAUCCCUUUUCUCUCCAUGAGAGCCAUUUCAGAUAGUCAGAACAUGGCUUUUACAUGUUCAUCCAAAUAGACCGAGACGUGAGCUCAUGGUCUAUGAGAGGCUGUGGAGAAAACAGAGUUUUUGCCUUUUUUUUUUUUUUUUUUUCUAAAAGCCACUUGCUUUGAAAGUGGUAUUCCAAAUAACCUGAAACAAAACCAUAAAAGGAUAAACAAAUUGAGAAUCUAAAGAAACUUUACCUCAACUUGAUCUUUGGAAUUUGAUUAACGUCCGAAUAAAGCAUACUCCUUUAAUGUUUUUUCAGAUUGAAAAGCUUUGGUUCUUGUGCGGUCACAUGACUUCUUCUUCUUCUCGUACUUUCUUGUUUUUUCUUUUGUGAGAAUUUCCUUAUUUGAAACACAGAGAAUUUGGCAAAUCCGAGUACGGUUUCUUCUUAGCAUCUCUCCUCUUUGAUAUGAGGACCGCUUGAUAGAGAGCGCACACAAACUGUUCGACGAAAUGCUCCAAAGAUGGUCUCUCUCAACUCAGGCCCCGUUUCUUCUUUUGCUCCACGGCUUUCGCUGAUUGAUUCCGAUACCCUUUUGCCUCUUUCCUCUUUUUCUUCCUUCAAUCCCAUUUGUUCGGGGAAAUUGAGUCUUUUAGCUGAUGGGAAAAGUUGUGGACCUGUUCAAUGGUUUCUGGAGGUCAAGCUGAGGAAGAAAGGUUGUUGCUUUAGGCGUAGUGGGGUUCUGAGGAUGUGCAAUAACCAAGAUUUGGGAUGGGAUAGCGAUAAGGAUCUGGAAACGGAGAUUUUGGAGUUCAUGAAGAAUUCUGAUAAACCUGGCAUGUUUCCGAGCAAGAAGGAUUUAAUCCGUUCUGAAAGAUUUGAUCUUGUGGAGAGAAUCGUAAACCAAGGUGGAUGGCUUUCAAUGGGAUGGGACUUGGAUGAACAACAAGAAGAGGAGGUCCGAGUAAAAGAGAACGUCGUGCUAGGGGACUUGCCUAUUGAGAAACAGCUUCGUAAUCUUUCCUCGAAUGCCUCAUAUUCAAGAGAGUGGGUCCUCUAAAUUUACAUUGCUUCUUAUUCUAUGCCUUUUGAGAAUGUUAGUUAACAUAGGCUCUGUUUUAUCAGAGAAGUAGAUGGUAAGAAUGAGAGUGGGAUUGAAGGCAUAUUGACCAGGUUGGAGAAAGAAAGGAAUUUGAGUCUAGGGAUAAACUUGAGUGGGAAAGGCGAAAGCAAUGGUGCCAUGUAUGAUGAUAUCACCCUAAAUGGUUCCCCUCCUCGUUCUUCUAUUAUUGUGGUAUGUUUUCUUGUCUGUUAUAAGCUUUGCUGUUCACUUCAUAAGAAUAAACUGUUUAUGUCGUGAGGUGUUUCCCUACCUUUUUUCUCAAAAGACAGCUAGUGAGUUUCAAGAUGUCGACGCUAGUAGAAGUUCAGGUGAAUAUGGACAAAGUAGGUAUCAAGAAGCCAAGCCAGUUUCAGGAAACAAUUCGUCUACAUCAGAAACGUGGAGAACAUGGAGUAUGAGGAGAGCUGGCUUUACUGAUGAAGAUUUUGAAGGUAUGCCAGUGAUUUCUGUCUUCUUCCAUAUAUAAUGAUUUCAGUAAAACAAAGAUCUAAAGCCAUUAACAUUUGUACAGCUGCUGAAAUAUCUUCAAGUAGCUUGGUUGGUCUAAAGAAGGAUGAUACGAAUAAGGAUUCAAACGGAAAAGACAAAACUGCAUCUUACUCUGAAGAUAUAAAUACGACUCAUAUCAAAAGCCGUCUUCAGAAUCUCCAGUCAGAACUUUCUUCUGUUCUUCAAUCCCUUAGGUCUCCUCCUCCUGAUGAAGUUGGAACAAGCAAGGUAACGUAUGUUUUCAUUUCUUCGUGUGUGAUUGUUUGAACGGAUGGGACCGAGAAUCCUCUCUCUAUUUGACUGAUCAAAAUAGUAGCGAUUCUAUAAAUGAUUAACAUUUGACUUAUUUUUGGUUUAUGAUUUUAUGUAGGAUAGUGAGAUAAAAUCUGGAAACUUGGAGAACCUCAAUGAUGAUUGGGAGUUCAAAGAGAAUGAAAUCAUAUAUGCCCAGAACAAGCUACGGUCUACAAGGGCAAAGCUAGCUGUUCUUGAAGGAAAGAUGUCUAUGGCUAUAAUGUAUGCGUUGCUCAUUGGUUAUGUGCAAAUAGAUAAGAGUAGGAUGCUUAUGCUAAUUGUCUCUCACAUUGGCUAGCUUGUUUCUCUUCUAGAGAUGCACAGAGGAUUGUAAGGGAGAAACAGAGAAAAAUAGAUCAUGCUAGGAGAGCUUUACGGUUACUCCGGACUGCAUCCAUAGUAUGGCCUAACUCAGCCUCGGAAGUUUUACUAACGGGUUCAUUUGACGGUUGGUCAACCCAGGUCAGUUCACAUCGAUAAAAGAAAAAAAAAAGGAUAAAACAAAGUCCUUCACAUCUACUUAAAUUUGUUUUAUGAUUUUGGAAGCAGAGGAAAAUGAAGAAAGCACAGAACGGAGUCUCCUCUUUGACGCUGAAGCUAUAUCCUGGAAAAUACCAGGUUAGCUCAUUCAAUCAAACACAGUAUCUGCAUCUAAUAUUAUACAUGUUUAUGAGCCACAAACCAAAUCUUAAAGUCGCUACAUUUUCUUCACAGAUAAAGUUCAUAGUUGAUGGCCAGUGGAAAGUGGACCCGCUUAGACCCAUUGUUACUUGUGAUGGAUAUGAAAACAAUCUGCUCAUCAUCUCGUGAGGUCAUUGCUAAUCCCACCAUCCAUGGAUCAUUGAGCUGAAUCAGUAGGGUUUUAGUUUACUUUUGUAAUUUCACUUUCAAGUAGAGCAAGGUUAGCCAGGGAAAAGCAGUAGAGCUAGCUGUAGGUUUUUUAUAAUCUUAAAAAAACGAAAAAAAUCUGUAUAUCUCAAUUUUCAUCAUUGUAAUGACUAUUCCUCUUGACGAGAAUAAUGCCAAUAAUUGACUUCUCACAUUGUACAAUGUUACACACAUUAGAGAUAUGAUACAUCCAUUUCUAUGAUGAAGAAAGCUUUUGUAUUCGCCGAACUACAUAUGUAAAUCCACUUCCGCAAUAUACUUUGGUAUCUCUCGUCCGCUGGUCUAUACUUCCUAGGCUUACGAGUUGAGGAUUGUUCUGAUCAUUGGUGUUUCCAACACCUAGCUGACCAUGUUCACCCCAUCCACAUGUCUGAACUUCUCCAUUCUCUGCAAGGUAUAUUCACAGGUUUGUUUGUUUAUAACUCAGAAAGUCUGGAGAACAAAGAGAUGAAUUGCCACCUGUUAAAGCAGCAGAAUGCUCUGCUCCUGCUGCAAUUUGCAUAACUUUAACUCCAUCAAAACCUGGAACUUUCUCCAAAAAAGGUUCAGACGGAUCUACUUGCAGUUGUUGCUUCUCGGAUUGUUUAUUAAGGGUGUUACCAAGCUUGAAAACUUCUCCAUCGACUGUUCAACAAAGUCCAUGAGCAGAGGAAUGAGUUCAAUGAGCUAUCAGAAGCUAACUCAUGCAUCUAAACAGAAAUUACCGGUUAGUAAUAAAGCAUGACUCCAUCCUAAAGCAACUUCUCUGAAGAAUUGAGAUGAGGGUAAACACUGAGGGGCUUGAACAUCAGGACUGCCGCAGAAACCUCUUCCCCAACUGAACAUUUGUCCAUUAGCUGGUUAAGCACAUCGCAAUACGAGUUUAACAAAACACACACAUGAUUCGAUCAAUCAAUGAAACUGAACAUGAGACUUAAAGAGUUAACCGGUUAUAGCUGCACUAUGAUCUCCAUUGGCUGCUAUACGAACAAUCUCAACAUCUUCUAAUCCAGAGACAAGACAUGGAAGAUUAAUUAGUGUCUUAGUUUUGUCUGAUGAGAAACCAAGCUGUCCGCGUUUCCCAGAUCCGAAUCCGCACACUUGAUUUCCUGAAGAAGACAAGAUAAAUCAAAAAUGAGAAAACAAACUUUUAUUGAAGAGCUAGUGAAUGCAGUGUCAGAUGUUUUACCUGCGAACAAGACAAGUGAGUGGCGCAUACCACAAGCUACCAUCUUCACGCUCUUAUCGGCAAAGUAAGAGACUUUAGCUGGAGAGCAAAGUGACAUGUUAUCACCAUGACCAAGCUGACCAAAUGAGCCAUUUCCACAAGUGAAUAGGCAACCAGAAUCUAACACAAAAAACACAAAAGGGAGAUCAAUCUCUUUGUCUCCUAAGCAGUUUCAAGCCUCCAUGUUAAGUUUACCUACCUGAAACAAAACCAGAGUGGCUCCAUCCAGCUGAGGCUUGAGUUACAACAUAGUCGUCGAAGAAAGAUACUGGUUUUGGCAAAGAAGAGUCGAGCAUGUCCCCAUGUCCUAAUUGACCAGAGUUUCCCCUUCCCCAUGUCAACACCUUACCACCUGCAAAUUAAAAAAAAAAAAACAUACUUUAAAUGUUGGAUCAGAAGAUACUUAAUCGGAGAUUUGAAGGGGGGGUUACCAGAAGUCAAGGCGAUGACGUGAGCGCCGCCACAAGCGAGCAUCGAUAUGGAAGCAAGUGACGUCAGCCAGAGAAGCUGCGGGAGAUGCUCGUCUUGCAGCUUAGCAGUCCCUAGUUGGCCGUCCGUUCCUGCACCCCAGCUCCACACUUGUUCUUCUUCAUCGGCCGGAGCCGGAGUUAUCCCACCGUGUUCGGCCAUCACUCGACCGUCUCUGAUGCUCAGCACAGUGACCUAAACGACGUAGUUUGAACCUAACUGGCUAAAGUUAAUUAGUGUUUUUGGGCUUAAGAUAAAUGGGCUUAACAUCGGGUGAAGGCCCACAUAGUAACUCCACUGUCCACAUGUGUGAGAAGUUGAGAGAGACAUGACAUAUCGAUGGACCCACAAAACUCCAAUGCUUCAGCACUUCCAAACAUAAUUUGCCACGUGUCGACUGUCUGACCUUAAUUCGAGACUGGAACUAUUAUUAAUGCAGAGAAAAUCUAUGUGUUUUGUACUAAAAGGUCCCACACUGACGUGGAUGGCGGUAAUAUCUGGAUCUGAGUCAUCUGAUCCGCACACGUGGCCAUUCAAAAGAUUGUGUUGAGUUUUGAACAUCGCCAUGGGUCGUGAUUCGGAUAAGAAGAGCUCUGUCUAUUUUUUUUCGCUAAAAGAUAAAUAUCAUAUAAAUAAAAAUUUAGACUUUAAAAAGAUCUAAUUAUGUUACACCUUGGCAAAAAAAACUAAAAACAAGAUAAUAACCCGAAUGAAGAUGAGCCGGACUAAUUUCCACGUUCAGCGCAUCCACUUUUCCAUGAGUUUAAGGAAUUGCUUCCUCUCUCUUCUAGCGGUGAUGAUGUUUCGUAUCUCCUUGUUUCCGGCGCAAGGACAAGCUCGGUCUAUUUUCAAUUUCACAAACUAAUUUGUUUUAUUACCAUUAAUCAAAUAGUGCUAGUCCUUUUCAAAUGAUAGAAUCAAUUCUCCUUUCUACUAUUUCAAUCAUUGACUAUUUGGAAAUGUAGCAUAUAACAUGUUAUCAACCGUAGUGUAUAUACAUUUGGAUACCUAAAUGAUCACAUCAUAUCAUUUGAAAAAAUACACACUAACCUUUGGAUUCUCUAGCCAUUGAAAAAUAUGGUAUUGUCGGUCGAGUUCUAUGAAAGGUCGUAGUACUUUAACACCAUGGCUAUAACAUAACGUACGUUUAACUUGCAAGAAAAUUAAUAUUUUAUUUAUAAGAUUUUUAUUACCAACCAUGAAAAUAUUCAACGUUUUUUUCGCCUCAAUAUGAACCCUAAGAAAAAUAAAGAAGCAGAUAAGUUAUCUUGGGCCACACGGGAUGUAGACCUACAGUGUUACAAGCUCACAACCCUAGAUUUGAAGCACUCAACGUUGGGUCAUAGUAGAAUCCGAGAGCUGCAAGCUCCGGGAAGCUGUAUUGAUUACUUCCCAAGCCUUCUUCUUCUUCUUCUUCUUCUUCUUCAGUGUACUGCGUAUUAUCGCUUUUCAUCGAGCUACCUUCUUCCCCAAGCUUCUCGGCUUCCAUAGACUGAGUUUCGAGUUUCUCUUGUAUUUUCAGCUCCUCUUUGAGAAGUGCAACCUGUUUUUGAGUGUUUCAUCAAAAUGUUUAACUUAGUCUCUGUAAAAUUCGCAUUUUAAGAAUAAAUGUACCUUGUUCUCGAGGGCUUGGUUUUGUCGAACGAGAAUGUCCCUAUCAGUUUUGAGCUUAGCAUAGCUAGCCUUAAGAGAGUCACAGUCGAGCUCUAGCUGUCUAGUCUUGAACCUAGCCCUUCUUUUUUGGAACCAUACAGCGACUUGGGUCGGCUGCAAACCCAGCUUCUCGGCCAGCCAGAGUUUCCUGUCUGGUUCGAGUCGUUUAUCUUCUUCGAAACUCUCCUCUAGUAAACACAAUUGGAUUGGUGUCAGCUUCCGUUUCUUGGUUGUCUCACGCAUCUUGUAGCUCUCACAGACGUCGUCUUCGUCCACAGUGUUGAUCUCCGUAUUGCUCAUUGAGCUAGAUCCUGAAUCAAGAAGAUUGUGUGACCAAAAUUUUGAUUCAAUAAUCCACAAUGACACGAAAAUUAAGAAGAGAAUCUUUCUAUGUCACAUGAAGUUGUUCAAAGUUUUUUUUUUUUUUGUUCGAACUUUUUAAACUCAGAGUGGAUACAAUUUGACAAUGAAGAUUCGUUAAAGGUCAAAACUAAACAAAAGGUGCAUUGGAGGAAACCCACAAAACUAAAAUCAAGAACGGUGGAAAAGAUGAAUACCAUAAAGAGCAGAUUGAGAGGUUGGAGGAAAGCAAGAAGAAUGAAACUUAAGGCAAUGGUUUUGGUUCUGGUUCUGAAACCAAACUUCUGAAUCAAUGUUUGAGUUUUCCAUUGGUGAAUGUUGUAAAUGAAAAUGCUGAGUCAAUUGCUGUAAAUGUUGAGACUCACAAGAGUCACUUUUUAUAAAGGAUAAAUUAUGGAAUUGUGAAAAAUAAAAGUUACAAGAAGGAAAAAACGAUUCCUUUUGCUUGUUUAAGUGUUUGGUAAGAAGAGUGAGACAAAGGUGCUGUUUUGCCAUAAGAGGGAUCACACUUGUGGUUUAUAAUCAGCUGAGUUCAAACAAGUCUAUUGACUAACAUUUUUUUCCAUCCAUAGGCCUCUUUAGAAAAAAACAACUCAAUGUUACAUUUAAUAAAAAGUUACUCUUUAUAUUAGGGAAAAUACUGGAGAAACGUAUAACAAACAAAAACAUAGUGAUAUAAACAUGUUAUGCAACCAGCCAACCACCAUGUAAAAGCUCAUAGCUCCUCAGUGUAAACAUGAUGAUUGUGGUUCAAUAUUAAUAAACCUCAAAAAAGAAAAGAAAAACCGGAUCCUAGUGUGCAUGAUGAGUUCACAAGUUGGACAGGAGAUGCUCUCUAAUCACCUUUGUUAUCUAUUUAUAUGCAAGUGGGUACAAUAUUUCCUUAUGUGACACAAACAAUCCCUGUGUACUAUAUUUGACGAAAAUAAGGAAAUUUUAAAAGGGACCCAUUCUUUUGUUUUCCGUCGACAUCAGAUUCUUUUGGUUUGGUUUCGUGAAAUCUGUGAAUGUCCAGCGGUGUACUAAAGUAAUAGGUUUGAACACUAUGUAUAUAAAUAAUUUUUACAUAUUAUUAUUUAUGUUGCAUUCAUUUACGUAUUAUAUAUUAAUUAAAUUAGAAUAAAUUCAUAAAUUCAAAACAAUACCUCUUAUUUAUUUAUAAUACAAUUUCUAGUAAAUAAAUCAAAACAAUCAUUUUAUUCAUGUUAUAUGAUAUAUAAUUAAAUUUCAGUAAUAUUGACAUAGAUAUAUAGUAUAUUUUAAUAUAAAUAUUUAUUACGGAGAGUUCUUACUCAUAUGAUUUAUUAACAUUUGUAUAUUUUCCGUAACAAAAAAUUUAAAUCAUUAAUCACAAAAUUUUCAAUAUGAUAUUUUUUCAAUGUAAAUUUCAAAAUUAAAAUACUAAGGUCUCAAUACGUUUUGAAUUCAAAUUUUGAAAUUAACAUAUAUAUAUAUAUAUGUAUUUUUAUACGGUAUAUAUAGUUUAAUUUAAACAAUAUUAAAAUUAUAUAUAUAUAUAUAUUAGUAUGAAUAUCCAUUAAAUGAGACUUCAUAUUGAUAAGAUUUUAUGAUCAUUUGUAUCUGCUAUAACAAAAAAGGUUAAACCAUUGAUUACAAAAUUUUCAAUGUGAGACUUUUAACAUUUUUAAUAAUUUAUAGUCUUUUCAAAAAUUCAAAAUAUAACAUAUAAGAAAAAUCUAAGAUUUUUAUUAUAUGGUUAAUGUGAUUGUUUAUUUUUUUUAAAAAUCAUAUAAAAUUAAGCAAAUAUGAGGGAGGAUACAAAAAUUGUUAUCAAAUCUUUAUUAUUCAUAAUUAUAAAUUGUCAUAUAUAUAUAUAUAUAUUAAUCAUAUUAGGUAAUUCUGUAGUUUUUAUUUAAGAAUAUAAUGCAAAAUAUUAUUUUGUACACUACUAAUCAAUUUGAUAGUUAGUUUAGUAAAAAAAUAUAAUAAAUAUUUAGAUGAACCAACUAAUUUUUCUAAAAAUACAUCCUAGUUAUGGCAAACGAUUACAAAAAAAUGUUGUAAUGUUUCUCAAUUAAUAUAUAUAAGGAAUUACAUUGCUUUUGUGUAUUCACAUGAUAGUGUUAGCCCUGAGACGAAUCGGAUAUCCGAGGUAUUUUGAGAGAUCCGGAUCCGUAAAAUUGCUAUCCGGAUCCGGAUUCGGCCUCUCUGGAUAUCCGGGGUUAGGAUAUCCGGACUAAAAUCUAAAUACCCGCGGAUAUCCGGAUCCUUUUUGAAAAAAAAUUUAAAAAAUUUAAAAUUAUAUUAAAAACUAGCUAAUUAAAAUGAUUUAUUUAAUUUAUUUAGCCUAUUAAUUUUUUUUAAAUGAAAAAUAUUGAAAUUGAGUAAAAUUAAAAAAUUUCAUUAUUUUAUAUAAAAAUUAUAUAUAGCAUACAUAUAUAAAUAUAAUUAAAUUUUAAAUAUUUUAAAUAAAUAGUAAGUUCGGAUCCGGAUCCGGAUAUCCGGACCUAAAAUUUCAUUAUCCGGAUCCGCCGAAUCCGUAAAAUCAAGAUCCGGAUCCGGAUUCGGACCCCUCAGAUAUCCAUUUUUUCGGAUCGGAUCGGAGUAAAUCCCGGAUCGGAUAACGGAUCUCGGAUAUAAGUCUCAGGCGUAGAUAGUGUAGUGCUGUCCUUUUUGUUUGGAUAAUGCCGUUUUAUGAAUUCAGCAAAUAAAAAUCUAAAUAUGUUUAUUUUUUCUACGGGUAGUUUUGUUUAAAGUAGUUUUGUUUAAGGUUUGGGUUAAAACCUAUCCAAAGUUCUUGAUUUUAUUAUCUGGAUCCAAAACCGGAUCAAAACUACCUUAAUGUUUGAAUAUCGGAGGGUGGUGGAAUGAACCUCGUAUUACGAAUAUUAUUUCUAUACUCCUAAGUUAUGUAAUGGUGAGACUAAGAUAAUAAAUUAGUAUAUAAGUUCUACUGUGUGUUAUGUUAAUGAAUGAAAUCUCAAAUUGGUAUUUGGAGAAUUAAAGAACUAAUAUAUAAAAAAAAUAUGACAAAUCUACUUAAGUUUAAAGUUCAUCUAACUUGAUAUGUUACUUCCUUUUGAGCUUGACGGGCUUAGUAUUGUUUGAAUUUGAUAUAUAUAACAUGAACAAUGGUUUCGUUGUUAAAAUUUGCACCUAAUAACUCUGACAAGGGACGAGGUGGAAGUGGAACAUAUCUUGUCUCGUGAUAAUGUGGUCCAGCACAACAUCAACACAAAAACUCCAUCAAAUUUUUAACCUCAUUUUCGUGUGCGUAAAUAGUCGUUACGGUCGAAUAAAAUGAGAUAUGCGAUUUGUUUCGGACGUGUUUAAUGUGAUGGGAAACAUUUUACAGGUUACUAGUGUGAUUUAUAUGGCUAACUUGGUUUGAGUUUUACGUAAUUAUUUUUUGAACAAUAAAUUUUUUUCUUUUUUGUGUCAAUAUAAACAGAUUCAUAUUGAUUUUGUGAACCAAAGUGGUAACUCUCCGUCCAAAUCCACGUGACCGACGAAAGACAGUUGUAUUCUGACAUUGCGUGCUAGACUAUCCGCCCUUGAAUUUUCCGUCCGAGGUACAUGAAUGAUCUCAAAACUUGCUUUCAAAAUCUUAAUGUCUUCCAGAUACAUUUCAAACGCUGGUCAUUCUUAUGGUUCCGAAACGAUCUUCACCAAAUGAGAACAAUCCGUUGCAAACAUGAUCUGAAACUGACGCAAAUUCCUUAUACAUUCCAUUGCCCAUAUUAGUGCUUCCACCUUCGCAUGAAGAGGUGAUAGAGUUGCCCUAACAUUUCUUGCCCCCAUCAAUCAAUCAAAACCCUCUAAGGUGCUAUAUCAACCUUGUCCAGAGUAAGGGUCCUUGUCUUUCCACGACCUAUAUGUAAAGUACCACCGCCCUGGGAUGGAUUGUAGAUUCCUAACCUCAACCAGUUGUUUUGCCCGAUUUAUGUUCAGCAGUUGUGCUUCAGCCCAAAGUAUUAACUCUGUUUGUGCUAAUUUGAGUGUUUCUCUGGGAUCAAUGUCAAUAUUACUAAACACUUUGUUGUUCCUCCCUUUCCAAAUGUACCAUAAUAUCCAUGCAAAUUGAUGAUCGUCUAUGUUUGGGAGAACUCUAAAAAAAAGAUGAUCCAUGUUUGUGAAGAUAGAACUGGGGGGAAAAUUAGUCGGGUUUGAUGGUAUCUUUGAGAGCGCCCAAACUUGACUCGUUGGAGGACAUUAAAAAACAAAUGAUUUAUUGACUUUUCUGAAUCUCCACAUCUAUCACAAGAUAUGUCCCUUUGUAUCCCUCGCGCUUUCAGGUUUUUCUUAACAGCUAUGCACCCUGAAACCAUUUGCCAUAAGAAUUGUUUUAUCUUCGGUGGACACUGCACCUUCCAGCAAAACGUUUUUAGUAUAUACACAUUGGGUCCAAAAAUUUCUAGUAUUUUUUCCUUAUCCGGGUAAACCCGUUCUAAUUGGUAGACAGUAUAUUUUCCAUUAUUAGUGAAAUGUUAUCAAUCCCUGUCCACCAACUGAGUCCUACUCAAUGGUAUACUUUCGAUAAUGUUUACGUCCUAGGGAUCCACCAAAGCCCGAAUCGCCUGCAAGUUCCAUGUUCGCGAGGCUGAAUUAAUGAGAGAAUCCACUGUAAGGUCCGGGUAAGUGUUUUGUUGGUUUUUAUUUGUUGAUCUCGGGCGAGUGGUUGGGAGCCAUGGGUCAUUCUAUACAAAUAUAGAUGAACCUGUUCCCACCCUUUUAAUUAAUCCUUUGUUAACCAGAGAUCUAGCAGAGACAAUGCUUCUCCAGUCGUAUGACGUAUGACAGGGAAUAUGAACGGAUCGGUUCUAAAGGUGAAGCAUUCAUGUAGUACCGUCCUUUGAAAACUAGAGAAAAUAAAGUAUUUCGCUUCUAUAUCAUACGCCAUAAUUGUUUUCCAAGUAUAGCCGUAUUAAAAUCCGUAAAAUCUUUAACGCCUAGACCUCAUUCGUCUUUGUUUAUACAUAAUUUAUCCCACAAUUUCCAGUGCAUGCCUUUUGUGAUUCCUCCAGGACUCCACCAAAAUUGAGCUACCGUACUCGCCAGUUUCUUUGCAGUUGCCUUUGGUAACCGAUAAUAACAUAUAACAUGAUUUGAACAAUAAGUUACAAGAGUAAUUUAUUUCACUCCACAUUUUGUAUAACUGAAAAUUAAUAUGAAAACGAAACCAUACGUGCUAUGGGCUGAUUUAUUUUUUAAGUCGAUUUCAUAUAUAUUGCAAAAUAUAUUGAAUUUGUUUUGAAUUGUAUAGUUAAAAUGUAGCUACAUGUUUUUGAUCAACUGAGUUUGAUCUUUAAUUUGUGUAGUUAAGACAUUAGAUAUAGUAGUAUGAAUGAAACAUAUGACUAUAUGAACAGCAUAUCAAGAAUAGACAAUGAAUAAUAGGAAGCCAUGGACGAAAAGUGAUCGGAAGGUCUUUCGAAAAGUUGCUUAAAUGUUGAAGUACGUAGAAUAUAAAUCUUGGUUUCUCCACAUGGCCACUAGCCCACUAGCCCACUAGACCACUAGAUAUUCUUGUGGACGAGUUUGGCUUAAAAGAAAACAAAAGUCAUCUAUAUACUGUCUGUAUAUAACCAUAAUGAUGAUACGAAAGGAAAUGGAUAUGCUGUUUUGUUCAAAGGAGUUUUGGUGUGGUUCAUGGUCAUCUCCCCAAGGAAUUAAUUGUUCGUGUAAAUGGAUAUGCUGAUUUCGUUUUUAUUGUUUGUAUUAAGGUUUGAUUGUCAAAGCAGUUGUAAAAGUAUUAUGCUUUUUAUUAUCCAAUCAACAAUUAUUAGAAAAAUAUUCAGAAGAUGCAAAUGCUAUUUAAGUAUUUUUUGUUCAACAUUCUCAUAUAAAAUUUUUAGUAGAGUAUUUGCAUUAAAAAUUUAUAAAGUGUUAAAAUAAUUAUAUACAAUUAAUUUAUAUAAAAGUUAUAUUUAUAUUUUUUUCAAAAAAAAAUUAGAGAUAAAUAUUUGAACUCUUUUAAAAAUUAUUUCAAAAUUUAAAUAUAAUUAAAUGUUAUUCAUUAUUUUCAGUAACAAAAUUAAAAUUAAUAUAUAUAUAUAUAAUUAUAUUUAUAUCAGCUAGAAAAUAGAAUAAUUUUAUAUAUGAAUCAUUUAUUGAUAUACUAAUUAAUUUAUUAAAUACAUUAAUGAAAGCAUACAACUUCAGCAUCAUAUUGUUAACUAGUGGUAUUCCGGCGCUACGCGCCGGGUUCGUAUGUUUUAUUAUUUUUGAUCCAUAUGAUAUUGGUAAGUGACAGUAGUGUAUUACUUUGUUUUGAAGCUGUUUAGAUCAAAAAGUAAUAGCAUAAGUGGUUUCAUUGAUCAAUUCAAUAAGAAUAGAAUAAAUAGUUUAUAGUUACACAAAGUAAAUAUUGCUGAACUUAAAACAUAAAGUAAAGUCGAUGUUCCAAAAGGGAAACAUGUAAUGCGUGUUGUUUUGUGAUUAUCUUGUUUAAACGAAAUUAAAAAUUUCUUUCAUUCUCUUAAAGUAGUAACAAUCCUCGCAUACUUUGGUCAUAUCAUGGAUGUGGCAAUCUUUUAGAGACUUCAUUUGGGACAUAUUGGUUUAAUACUUUAUUUUCAAAAUGAUACUGCAUCUAGUAAGUGAAUUAUUAAUCAUGGUCUAGCAUCGCUCGGAUCUGAAUAAACUAUUUUCUAAAGAUAACUUAUUAUAAAAUUGAAGUGUUCGUGAAUAAUUUUAGAGGUGGAUGUUUGUUCCCACAAUGUACAUUUAAAUAUUUCAGUCCUCAUGUGAAGUGUUUAUUUGGUUUGACAACAAAAGUAUAAUAUGCUAAUGUAGUUGAAUCUGUACAGUAUGCGGGAGGUACAGAGCCUCUCAUUGAUCAUGUUAAAGCAAGUCAAUAAUUAACCAUAUUCGUGAGUGUACGAAGUAGCCAAACGUUUUACUUCUCGAGUGUGUGCGAAGAUAUUAUUUAUUUGGUUUAAAGCUUUCAUGUUUAUUUAAAUCUAUUUUGGUUUUAACUUACCUUGUAUUUAUGACAUUAUACUAUUUUUAUUAUGUAUUCAUUUGCAUUGGUAUUUUAUAAAAGAAAUAAAUCAUUAUUUUUAUUUGACCAUUUUUUAUAUCUUCUACACUAUUAAAACAAAACCCCUCAUAAAAUUUUGUCUUUGAUUUUGUAAUAAUUAUAAUUACAUGUCACUCAUAUUUUAUGCAUAUCAUAAUUAAUUAAUAUGAACUAAACAAUUAAUUUAGAAAAAUAUUCCAAAACUAAAAAACAGUUAAAAUCAUGUAUAUUUUCUUCUUUAUAAUUUCCUUUUUAAAACACAUCACUAAUUUAUUAUCCUAAAAACUAUUUAACAGAUUUUUUUUUUAAAACGUACCAACUAUUAAAAAUUUAUAUAAUAUUUUUUUGAGAAUAUUAUUGUUUUGCAGUUUAGAGUUUUUUUAUAAAGACUAAACUAAACACAAUUUAUAUCUUUAUUAAAAAUAAUAAUGAAAAAAUUUAUUAAGUUUAAAAUAUUUAAAAAUAAAAUUCAGUACCUUAAAUUGAUAUUAUAAAUAUGUCAUAAAUAAUAGAACAUGUAAAUAAAUAUUUCAACAAACAAUCUAUUAGUGUGUAUAAAAUCUUUUAACUUAAUAUAUAAAAUACUAUCAAAUAUAAUAUUAGGAAAUUGCCAAAAAUACCAUUUUCAAAGUACCACUUUUCAUGUUUAUAUUCAUCAAUUUUACCAUAAUCUUUAAUGAAGGGUAAAAGACAUUUAUAACCCUUGAAUUAACUAUGACAAAAAAACAUAAGUUUAAUCUAAACUUAAAACACCAACUAUAAACCCUAAAUCAUCAACUCUAAACCCUAAACCAUGAAACCUUCAAAUCUAAACCCUAAACGAUCAAAUGUAAACCCUAAACCCUAAACUCUAAACCCUAAAUCAUCAACUCUAAACCCUAAACCAUGAAACAUCAACUCUAAACCCUAAACCCCCAAACAUCAACUCUAAACCCUAAACCCUAAACCUUCAAAUCUAAACCCUAAAACAUAAACUCUAAACCCUAAACGUGAACCCCAAACCCUAUAUAUUUCUGAAAUUCAAACCCUAAACCCUAAACCUUCAUAUCUAAACCCUAAAACAUCAACUCUAAACCCUAAACAUAAACCCUAAACCCUAAAAUCCUAAACCUUCAAAUCUAAACCCUAAAACAUCUACUCUAGGGUUUUAAUGUUUAGGGUUUAGGGUUUAGGGUUUAGAGUUGAUGUUUUAGGGUGUAGGGUUUAGAGUUGAUGUUUUAGGGUUUAGAGUUGAAAGUUUAGGGUUUAGGGUUUAGAGUUGAUGUUUUAGGGUUUAGAGUUGAAGGUUUAGGGUUUACGGUUUAGAGUUGAUGUUUUGGGAUUUAGGGUUUAGAGUUGAUGUUUCAGGGUUUUAGGGUUUAUGUUUAGGGUUUAGAGUUGAAAAUUUAAGGUUUAGGGUAUAGAGUUGAUUUUUUAGGGUUUAGGGUUUAGGGUUUAGGGUUUAGAGUUGAUGUUUUAAAUUUUUUUUUUAUAUAUACAAAGAACAAGUGCAUAAGAGUCACUUAAUGAAGAAGGUAUUUUUGAAAAUGUCAAUUUAGUGAUGGUAAAGAUG